rnacentral:lncRNA from 1 species
GCAAAUUUAUAUAUUCGUAUUACAGAGUGAGAUUAAAUUUAUCUUGUAUACAGAAGUGAGGCUGAUGGAGAAGAAUUGGAUGCAGAAGAUGAGGUGAAUUGUGACGAGUUGGUGUUGUAGCCAUGACCCGAAGACUCUGUCUGACGUCUUUCCAAAUCAGUAUUGUAACUCGACGAGAUUGAAAAUGAUACCGGAAGAGAUAAGUAGCUGGCCACCGGCAUCUUUGAUGGGAGAAUGGGCAACGGAACUUCGAAGUUAAGUACUUGAAUUGUUUGUUGUAUCGAAGGCCUCAUCGUGUAAUCCGGAUGAGCACACCACAGCCCAACAAUCAACAAACACUCCAUCUGUUUCGCAUCGAACUCUCCACACAAUUUAGGGUCAGCUGCUUCAAUGAUUUUCCCUUCUCCAUAAAGCUCCCAAACCCACUCCACCAUGUUAAUUUGAGUCCUUCCCAACUUUGGAUCAAUGGGUUUUCUCCCGCAAGCUAUCUCCAAGGCAACAACUCCGAAGCUGUAGACAUCUGUUUCCUUGCUUGCCUUUCCUGUGGUAAGGCAUUCUGGGGCCAUGUAUCCCAUGGUUCCAGCCAGAACUGUGGUUUGCGAUUGUUUGCCAUGAUCCACAAGUCGAGCUAAUCCGAAAUCCCCAAGUUGGCGUUGAAAUUUGAAUCCAGCAUAAUAUUGCUGGAUUUGAUAUCCCUGUGCAGCACACAUUGUUCCCAUUCUUCGUGUAGAUAGAACAAACCGGAUGCCAAGCCUUGGGCAAUUCUGUAUCUUGCCUCCCAAUGUAACACGGUUUUAGGUUUGAACAAAUGGGAAUCUAAGCUUCCGUUGGACAUGAACUCGUAAACAAGCAGGAGCUCUCUUUUUUCAUGGCACCAACCGAUGAGUUGCACCAGAUUCCGAUGCCUAAGUCGACUGAUGAUCCUUACUUCUGCAGCAUACUCCUUCAUACCUUGUCUAGACCCACUUGAUAUCCUCUUAACAGCAACAUACGAGUCCAAGUCUUCUAUGAACCCUCUAUAAACUCCACCAAAUCCUCCCUCUCCAAGCUUUUCUCCCUCAUCGAAAUUACCCGUGGAUUGAGCCAAUGUCUUGUACGAAAACUUCUUCGGGCCCGUCCCCUUCUCGAAUUCCUCAUCGAUCGAGUCGUUCACCAUAGGAUACUCAUCAUCACUACUUUCCCCUCUUUUGCCCUUCCUCCAACAAAUGCACCAAACCAAAACCAACCCACCAGCCAAAACCACACACCCACCGACAACCAACCCAACAACCAGUCCGACGUUGACCCCAUUUCCUGUCCCGGGCUCAACAAUGGGGUUCGGCUCUGGCACAGGAACCACUGGCGCCGAGUUGUUAAACUCGUUCUCAUCGCGCAGUUCUGUAGAACUAAAAUUCCAUGAGUUGAUUUUAUGUAGAGCUGUUAAAGCCCCUGUUGCGGCAGAGAACCCAACAAUAACAUAACCCUGCAAGUACUCAUUCAAGUCUACAAUGUAACUAAUAUUCCCCCAUACUGGGACACCAUUUACAAAACUAGUGUAACCAACACUAAGAAUUUUUGAUCCAGAAUCGUAGCGAAUCCGAGCAUUAUUUUCCCCGCCGGUUGUAAUGGAUCCAUUCCAAGGGUUUAAAACUUUAGAAUUGACAGAGUUGAUGUCAAUACCAAUAUGAUCGCCGACAGGAUCAUUGACACAAGUUUGGUUAUUCCUGAAGAUAUCAAACUCCACUGCCACAAAGGGGUACAGAUUCGUCGACUCAUUAUUUAGCGGGAUUGUGACGGGGAGGCCUAGAGAGCCGCCUACGCCUACUGCGGUGUUGAGUGAGGACCCGUUUGGCGCCAAAAAGAAGGCGAGUCCGUCGGCGUAGUAGGGCGUUUUGGAGUGGAUGACGAACGUGAAGUUUGUGGUGAAGUCAGCGAGUUUUCCGGUGGCGUUCUCGCGGAGGAGGAAGGGUUGAGAGUAGGUGGCUCGGCCGACACUUUGGUCCUGUCGGAUGUCGGCAGCGCUUUUAGUCAGGCGGAGGAACGUGCCGUCGACGAAAGCAUCUCCCUCGAUAGAUAAAUUGGUGAGGCCGUUUGGGAAGGAGGAGAAGUUGAAGGAUAAUGGAGUUGCACAAGCGAGGAGCUGAAACAAGAGAAGUUUGAGAAGAAGGACAACCACCAUGUUUGUAAUGCUUUUACCGAUUAAGCCGUGAUCAUCUAAAAAUAUAGCAGAGAUCGUAGAAUUUAAUUUUUUUAGGGAUUUUAUCACCAGCCCCCUUUGUUUACCAAUUCAAAUCAAAAUAAUUUAACUUGGAACUGAGCAAUUGAUUUACUAUUAUAGUGGUAGUGGUCGACAUGCUCCAAAUUUUCAUGUUUGAUUCUGAGUUGGGCUUUUUUUUUUUGUUUUUGUUUUUUUGUUUUUAUUUUUUUAUUUUUUUGUUUUUUGCUGUCAAUGUCAUGACUAAUGAUCAAAUUCAAAAGUUUCUAAAACUGCCUUUAUAUUAAAUAUAUUUUAGGUGGUGCUUAUCUAAGCAACUUUUUUUUUAUUAUCUUUUACAUAUAUAUAUUUUUAAUUAUCAAUUAGAUCGAAUGAAGUGAACAAGAUUAGAAGACAAAAUUAACAAGGUGUGUGGAUGAUAAUAUAGCAGCACCCAUAUUUUAUUCACUGUUCUAAAAAUUCUCACCUAGCACCGCCUAGGCCAUGUCUAGGCGCUAAGUGGCUAGCCACCGUCUCAAUUAAUCUAUAGGCGUUUGAAAAUUAAGAAAGGGCAUCUGCCUAACCCACCCAGAUGCCCGUCUAGUCCGCCUAUGCACCUACCAAUGUCGUGACAUGACUCUCAGUUAUACAAAAAAUUGAUAACUUUUAUUUUCCAUUUUAUUUUUUCAAUAAAAUGUAAAAAAUUUGUUAAAUACUUGAAUGAACACUUAUUAUUCCUUACGUUCUCAACAUGUUUUAAUACUUUAUAAUUUAUAGGCCAUUUUAUUUUUCAAUUUAUCAUAUCUCAAUACAAUUAUGUAUCAUUUUUAAGUAUAAAUAUGCACUUAUUUAUACAAUAAAUAAUAAAUUUACUCAAAUCCCCCUAGCCGCUAGGCGUUAGGCCAUAGCCCGCCGCCCGACUAGCGUCUUUUAGAACCUUGAUUUUAUUAUAUAUUCUUAGUUUUUUAAGAACUCGACAGUAAGUAAACGGUGUUAUUUGGAAAAACGUAAUGCGAGAGAAACUAAAUUUAGAGAUAAAAUUUGCCAACUAAAAUGAUGUCUCACAAAUAAGAAUGAGCACGUUUAUCAAUGCUUAAGUAAUAAACCAAUAAUCAACUUCCAUGUCCUUUAAAUUUCAAAAUUUUGUUUUCAAAUUUAAUCUCUCCAACAUUACCCUUUGAAAAAUUCAAGUGCUUCGUCAAAAAACCUAACCUGUGAUAGAAAAGUUAUAUUUUCAUAUCUUGAGUUAAUAAGAUUACAACCUUUAGUAUUUAUACAUUUACAUCACCACACAAAUGAUUGACAGCUCACUUAUAACAAAUCCUAACUAUCCGAACAAUAUUAACAACAGACUCUAACAGACUAUAGAAACAUUUACAAACUAAUACUUCUCUGUCCUAUCUUUUACACUAUGGUCCUUAAUAUCCCCAUUCAAACCGAUCUGAGGGAACCGAAAAGAGAGUUUGGUUCUGAGAAGCAAAAAUUUGGGCUUGGUUAAGGACUUUGUACAUAUAUCUGCAACUUGGUCUUGAGAACAGAUGAAAUGAACGGAAAUAGCACAGCAAAGCACUUUCUCCCGAAUAUAGUGAUAAUCUAUUUUAACAUGCUUUGUCUUAGCAUGGAAUAUAGGAUUUUUAUCUAAAGACAAAGCAAAAAUAUUAUCACACCACAGUUUGGCAGAACAGGGAAGAACCAAGUGAACAUCAACCAAAAGUUUGCACAACCAGGUAAUUUCAGCUGCCGUAUUGGCUAAAGAUCUGUACUCAGCUUCAGUGGAUGACCGAGCCACUGUGGGUUGUUUAUUUGCACUCCAGCUAAGGAGAGAAUUGCCCAGAAAGAUGCAAUAUCUACCGGUUGAUCUUCUGUUUAAAGCACAACCUGCCCAAUCGGUAUCAGAGAAUGCAUUAAGAUUGAGAGGUGUGGCACAUUUGAGAACCAUAACCCCAAAUCAAUAGAGCCCUUAAGGUAUCUCAGAAUUCGUAUGACAGCUUGAAGAUAAGAUUAUCUAGGACUAUGCAUAUAUUGACAGACAAGAUUAACCGCAAAAGACAUAUCAGGACGUGUCCAGGUUAAGUAUUGCAAACCACCCACGAGAGACCUAUAUUAUUUGAGAUUAGAUAAUAGAGGAGAAGUGUGAUCUAAUGUGGAAGUGCUCAAAGGUGUGGGACAAGGCUUAGCUCCAUUCAGUUUAGCUUUCUUGAGCAAUUCCACUAUAUACUUUGUCUAAGAAAGCAGAAUGCCAGAGGAUGACCUUUUUACUUCGAUGCCAAGAAAGAAGUGUAAUGGACCAAAGUCUUUGAUAGGGAAUAAGGCACUGAGUUGGGCAAUAGUGUCCUUACAUGCCUGAGAAUAUGGUCUUGUAACCAGUGUCAUCUACAUAGACCAAAACAAACACCAAGGUAUGAGUUUUCUUAACAAACAAAGAAUGAUCAUUCUGAGAACCAACGAGGCCCAUAGAAGAAAGUGCACCUUGCUGCUUUUCAUACCAAGCUUAGGGAGCUUGUUUUAAACCAUAAAGGGACUUAUAAAGAUGACAAACAUGUGUAGGCCGAGUAAGAUCCUGAAAACCAGUUGGUUGUUGCAUGAAAACAUUUUCAGACAGAGAGCCAUGAAGAAAAGCAUUGCUGACAUCUAAUUGGUUAAGAAAUUAAUUAUAUUACGGCUAAAGUAAGAAGAAGCCGAAUUGUAACAGGCUUGGCAACAGGACUGAAUGUAUCAAUAUAAUCUAAGCCUGCUUGCUGAUGAAAACCCUUAGCAACCAACCGAGCUUUAUACCCAUCUAUAGUGCCAUCAACUUUCCUUUUGAUCCGAAAGACCCAUUUGCAGCCCACAAGAUUUUGUGAAGGAUGUGAAGGAAUAAGAGACCAAGUACCAAUAGUGAGAAGAAUAUUAUAUUCCUCUUGCAUAGUAUGUCUCCAAUGAAAGUGUUUUGAAGCCUAUAAGUAGGUAGUAGGUAGGAAAUUCGCAGGGAGAUGAGAAGGAAGGGGAUGUUUAGUGGCUGCAUAGGCUUUGGGUUUGAAUAUACUUAACUUAGAUCGAGUUUGCAUAUCAUGAGUGUUUGUGGGAGGAACCGAGGGUGCAUGACUAGAUGAACUGGUAAGGUGUAAUGCAGAUGCAGAAGACAGUACAUCUGCAGAAUUAGAAGAAGUGGUAGGUGUAAUGUAGGUGCAGUAAGAGAUGAUGUGGAAGAAAAUUGAGAUGUUGGGGAAGAACCUAGAAUAGGAUAUACUAAGGUAGAUGGGAUGGAAAAGAGUGAGGAGGCUGGGGAAGUAGAUGAAGAAGAGAUGGCAGUAAUGUGUUUAAAUGGGAAAUAAGAUUCAUCAAAGAUAAUAUGGCGAGAUAUAUAAAAUCGCCUGGUUACAAGAUCAAGAGACCUAUAUCCUUUAUGGUUCAAACUAUAACCAAGAAAGACAUACGGUUAACUUCUAGGUUUUAAUUUGGAUGUGGUAUGGGGUUUAAGCCAGGGAAAACAUCGGCAACCAAAAACGUUGAGAGUGGCAUAUGAUGGAGGUUUGUGAAAUAAUUGUUCCCAAGGAGAGGAUCUAAUCAUAGUAGGCAGUCGGUUAAUAAGAUACACUGAUGUUGAAUAGGCUUCAACCCAAUAAAUGUGAGGGACAUGAGAUACAGUCAGAAGAGUGCGAGCAAUCUGAACCAAAUGACGAUGUUUACAGCACAGCUAUUUUGCUCUGGUGUGUGAGGGCAACUUAGUUGGUAAUGAAUACCAUGAGUCUUUAGAAACUGAGUAAAAUCAGAGCUUAAAAACUCUCCACCAGAAUCUGAUCUCAAAACAGCAAUAGAAGUAUGCAACAUAUUCUCAACCAAUGCUUUGAAUUCAAUAAAGGUCUGAAAACCUCAGAUUUACACUUGAGAGGAAAAAACCACCAGUACUUUGUGUAAUCAUCAAUAACAAUGAGAUAAUAUCUAUAACCUGAGACAGACAUAACAGAUGAAGGCCCUCAUACAUCUGUAUGUAAAAGUUGCAGAGGUCGAGUGGUAGUAGGAGAACUAGAUACAAUUUGAACAAAAAUACUUAGUCAUGCUAGUAAAAACUGGAAGAUUAGACUUAGAGACUAUUUUAUUGAAAAGCUGAAAAGAUGGAUGGCCCAACCGUUGGUGCCAUAUUUGAGAAGAUGCUUUGAUUGUUGCAGCAAAGAGAUGAUGAUUACCAGCAGUUGGCCUAGAGGCAGUGAAAGGGUAAAAACCAUUCCUCACAAGGCCUUUAAAAAGCAUCAUCCCCGGAGAAAGAUCUUUCACAAUAAAGUGAAAAUGAUAGAGAGUAAUUGAGCACCAGUUAUCAAUUGUAAAUUGAUUUGCACAUAACAAAUCUUGUUUUAAACUAGGAACAUGUAAAACAUUGCGAAGAGCAAAGUCAUGUUGAGUAGUAGAAAGUGUAGAAGAACCAAAAUGAAAAAUAGGCAAACCUUUGCCAUCAUCGAUGUAGACUUGCAACGGAAUUAGUCAUAUGAGAGCUUGCACCAGAGUCGAGAAGCUAAGUUGUAGGAGCAGAGGAAGAUGCAGCAUUGUCACACAUUGCAGAUUAAGAAGUCUUUGAACCAGAUUGAGGAUUCAUGCGAUAAAGGCACUCAACAGCCUCAUGAUUAUUUUGGCGACAAAUUUGACAAGUAAGUCUGCGUCUAGAAAAGGUUGAACCAAAUCGACCACCACGAUUGUUCCUCGAAUAAUUGUUUCUCUAAUAAUUGUUGGAGUAAUUCGAACGCUAGUUGUUAGACCUAGGAUUUGAGAAAUUCCGAUUGAAAUUACGAUCUUGGCCGCGACCAUGAUACUGAUUGAAAUUGAGAAAAUUCUGAGCAAGAAACGCCUGAGAAUUAGGGUUCUGAGGAGGUAGAGGAAGAAUUCCAGCAGAAGAUCCAAGAGACGAAUUAAAAGGUUGAAAAGAUCCUGAGGCGGUUGGUUUCUUGCGAUUUGCAAGUUGAAUUUCUUUGCUCAGUAGUAAACCAUGCAGUUCAUCAAUGGUUGUAGAUCCAAGACGAAACUGGAUCGCAUCAACAAAUGAGUCAUAAUCAGAAAGAAGUCCAUGAAAAAUGACAGAAAGAAGCUCAUGUUCGUCAAUUGGAGUGCCAGCAUUGGCGAGAGCAUCAGAGAUCUCCUCAAUUUGUUGAAGAUAUGUAGCGGCAGUGGAAUCACCCUUGGUGAUUGUGCGAAGUCAUGAACGAAGUUCAUAAACAUGAGAUUGUGAAGUUGCAGCAAGUCGCGAUUCAAGCUUAGACCAAAGCUCUCAAGAAGAAUUAACAUUAACCGUAUACGGAAUCAAAGAAUCAGAGAGAGUCGAAUUUAUCCAAAUGAGAAUAUUUUGAUCAUUCUCAUACCAAGCAACAUAAUCAGGAUUCAAGAUUGCAUUUCUAGAAGAGUCGUGAAGAAGUUUAAGCGGAGCAACCACAGAUCCGUCGAUGAUUCCAGUGAGAUUGUAACGACGGAAGAUAAGAGCAAAUAACGCAUUCCAUGUGAGGUAAUUUGUGGUUGUAAGCUUGAUUGGCACCAUUGAACCAAUAUUUUGGAUCGUAAUCGAUGCAAUUUGGGAAGUGCCAGAAGAAUUAGGACACGAAUUUGGAGAGGGAAGAGCAGAGCCAGAGGAGGAGAUGCAUCAGUCAUCAUGAUUUAGGGUUUGAAGAAAGGAAAAAGAGGGGAAGCGAGAGAAGAGGAUCGAUCGUUAGAUAGAGGUGAGAGAUACCAUGAUAGAAAAGUUAUAUUUUCGUAUCUUGAGUUAAUAAGAUUACAACCUUUAGUAUUUAUACAUUUACAUCACCACACAGAUGAUUGACAGCUCACUUAUAACAAAUCCUAACUGUCCGAACAAUAUUAACAAUAGACUCUAACAGACUAUAGAAACAUUUACAAACUUGAUAGCGUCAUAAAUACCAAGAGUUUUCCACUUUUCACCAAAGAACAUUUCUAUUCGAACGACCCAGGCCACCCAAUUCACAUUAGGCGAAGGCUAGGACCAUUGAGGUUUUGAUUGGCACCACUUCGACCAACGAACCUUUGCAGCAAACCUAACAAACAAUAUUGUUUGAACAAGUUGGUGAUGGAUGACGGCACCGUAUCCUUGAAGAGUGGGCCCAGAACUUGGUGAGUAGUGUUUGACUCACCUUCGAAAUGCAAAGUCUUGAUAGCGUGUUGAUCAAUGAAAUCCUUGCACUUGUUGCACUCAGAGGAGAGUUUUGAGACAAAUGAGGUCGUUGAGGAAAUGUUAGAAAUUUCUGAGAUGAAAGUUUCAAACUCCCUGGUUUUUGAAAGUUUUAAAAGACAGAAUGGUAAGAAAAUUUCAAAGGUUUGGGAGAGCGUAAGGUACGAAUGGAAGAGAUCGAGGUAUUUAUAGACAUUUUGGAACGGAAGGCUAAACGAUUGAUUUUCAAAAUCUAGGGUAAAAUCAAGCGAGAGAGAUACUAAUCAUUGUACAUGAUCAGAAAAUCAAGGCGAAAGGAUCGAGGUUUUCAUGGAUUGAGGAUGCACAAUGGCGUGUUACGGCGAUUUUAAUGCAAGAGAGACGUUUCAGCGGUCGCAUGGUUUCGAUGAUCAUGAUUAAAGGCUGCUAGGGUAACCAGGGGGUUGACACGUGGCAGGACGGUUUGGAAAUUGAGAUCGUGGGAUUAUGUUUCAUAAGUGCACAUGGUGGCAGUUCCUGAGAGUCAGUUUCACUUCUUCAAGGUCGAGGCUCGAACUAAGAAGUAUAGGUCGACGACCUCAGAAGAGAUGGGGCAAUGUUUGGGCCCAAAAAUAUUAUUUUGGGUCGAGUUAGAUCUUUUUUGACCCAGUGUUGGAUAGGCUGAGUUGAGAUUCAUCAUCGGCCCAGAAGUCGUGAACACGUGUUAUUGGGAGAUAUUCAGCCCAUGGGCUGUGCGGUCAAAGUUGGCCAUAUCCUAUAGGAAAUUGGAAUGUAGACGAAUCCUAUUAUGAGAGGGAGUCUCGACGAGAUCAGGAUGUUGAGGUUGAAUACGGUCUGAUAACGAGUUAUGUUCGAAGUCCUAGUAGGAAUAUGAUUGGUCGAAAUAAAGUUGGAUAAUGAGAAUAAGUUCUAAUCUGGGAGUGAUUGGGAUUCAAUACGGGUUGGCUACUAUAAAUAGGGAGGGAAAACAUCGAAACAAGCUCUCCAAUUCAACACACAAAUUACCCUGUGCAUUCUCUCGCUUUACGCAAACUUCGCAACAACCUUGAGAUUUUUGUUUUUCCCUUUUUUGCCGAUGCAUCUUCAGUUUGGAUAAACAGCACUGUGAAGGCAAUCGGCAAACAUUUUCAGUUUGGAUAAACAACAUUGUUACCGUAGAAUCAACCGACUAUGGAGCACCUUCAGUUUAGAUAAACAACACUGCGAUAAGGCUGACUGGUUAUCUAUCCAAGUCUCGGUUGAGGAGGAGUUUUGAAUCCUUAUCGGCAUAGGUCAUCUCGUUAGCCUUCUCGACGAAACGAGGUGUUACAAGUUACUUGGCACAUUGAACGCCGAGUCGUUUAUGAUUGGUUAUUCGCAAGUAGGUUUUAGAGUUCGGCAUUCUGAUGGCCAAACCACUUUCACAAUCAAGGCAUACAUUUGUUUUGAGUAUUUGUGUCCUUAUACUCUGGUGUCGAUUCGGCGUGCUUAUACUCUUACGAAUAUAAUCACAGUAACUGAAUCUGGCGCCGACAAUUUGUGAACUUUGCAAAACAAGUAGCUUUGUCUUCAAGCUCUAGAACCUGAAGGCCGAUGCGUGUUCCUUACUCGGCCGCAGUCGCACGAUCAAGAAGUCAGCUGCACACCCAACGCAAUAUCAACAAACUUCACUCCUCGGCCGACGAGUUGGCACGCUCCACAUACAACCGAAGGACGUAGUUAACUUACUAAUUACUCGGUAUGCGCGCCACGUAGGUUUAGUAGUUUUUAGGGUCAACAGUAUGCAAAAAACAUUUUUUAUAACCGGCACUACACGUCUCUUAAGAUGUUUAGAACAUGUUUAAAAAUAAAGAAAAUAAUAUUUAAUAAACAACUGAUUGAAUCACAUUAUUGCUAACAUAUUGUAAAGUACUAAUUAUUAACAAAAAAAACUAUACAAAAUAAUUAAUUAUUAAAAAAUAAUGUUUAUAUGAUGAAAAUACCCUUGUAUUAUUUGGAGUUGCUUUUGAACUUUUUUGUUUGGGAAACAUUUUUGUCUAAAACUUUUUGAUGAACCCUGUGACCUCAAAAAGGAUUGUUAGCUUUAUACAUAGAGAUGAUUCGGUUUUAAGUCAAGCGAUUUUGACUUGGGCAAUGGUGGAUACAAGUACCGACACUGUUCCAUCAAGCUCAUCGCUUGGAGCAGAUACUUGCAAUCCUCAUCCAAUCUCUUUGAUAAAUCUUUUAUAUAUAAAGCGUGCAAGCCCCAUUUGGGGUCAUGACUCAUAGCCUCGUAGGCUUUACCAAAAUGUUUUGGACAUAAAUGCCUCCAAACAAAAAUUUCAAAAACAACCCUUGAACCCAAAAUAAAUUAUCAAAUAAUGUAGGGGUAAUUUUGUCAUAAAAAUAGUGUUUUUUAAUAAUAUUUUUUUUGUUAUAAUUAGUAUCUCACAAUGAGCUAACAAUAAUGUGCUUCAAUUAGUUGUUUAUUAAAUAUUAUUUUCUCUAUUUUUAAACACAUUCAAAACAUUUUAAGAGGCACGUAGAGUCGGUGAUAAAAAAAGCCUUUCACGCACGUACAAUAAUGUGAUUCAAUUAGUUGUUUGUUAAAUAUUAUUUUCUCUAUUUUAAUGUAAAUUCAAUAGAAUGUAGAUGGAAAUUGAAAAAUCAAUUUUAUUAUGUGAAUUCAGCUGCUUUGAUUGAUUUAUGAGGGAUUUCUUCUAGCAUAGUCUAAUAUUAUUUAUUUAGUCCAAAUGUCUGACUUUCCUUUUGUCAUAAAAAAAACAGUGAAACAAUUCACGCAUAUAAAUACAUUUAAAAUAUGUAAGUCAUUCAUAACACGUUGUGAUUUAAAUAAUAUUUUUUACACAUGUAUAAAUACGUACACGAAGGCUAACAGACUGGAACAUUUCAGACCGUCACCAUUGUCUUCCAUCAUCACCACACGCCGUUCAAUCUCGUAUGUUGUUGCAUAGUAGUUUUCAAUUGUUUGCAACAGUACUUUUCUAAAUUCAUUAUGUCAUAUUCAUACUAAAAUAGUGUGCAGAAAUAGUCAAAAAAGUGUGACAGCUAAAAUUUCUGUCGUGUCUAAAUUAAAGAAAGGCCGGCUCAUGAAGAGAGGCAGAUUGUCUGUCCUCCUAUUUGGAUACGCUUUCUAUCCCUUCUUAUUUUGUACGAUCACAAUUAAAUCACGUCAAUAUUUUAUAUUAUUUUUUUUAUAAAGAUAACAAGACAAAAAACAAUAUGAAUAUAAAAUGUUGACGUGGCCUAACCGUGACUGCACAAAUAGGAGGAGAUGAGAAUAACACCCAAACGGUAAGGCAUACAAUCUGCCUCCCUCAUGGAGUGUGGCAAGUGAAAUAUUUUUGUCUAAGAUGCAUUGACAUAAAAACGGCUUGGAAAUGGUUAGAAAUCAUAUCUUCGAGUGUGGUUAUUCUACUGAUCUAUUUAUGAAGAAAGACUUACAAGAUACGUGUACAUCCUCUGUGUUCCAUGUCAAUACUACAAAUAUAUAUAUAUAUAUAUAUAUAUAUAUAUAUAUAUAUAUAUAUAUAUAUAUAUAUAUAUAUAUAUAAGUUUUAGUUUACAUGAUUUUGUGUGAUCCACAGUAGUUUAACUCUCCUAGUCAUGACCUCAUUUCUUUCUAUUAUUUUCUCCGUCUUUUUUUUGUUUUGUUUGUUUGUUUUUUCUUAAUUUGUUUUGGUCAUAACGAUUAUCUUGAAUGGAUAAAAGAAGUAAAUUAUAGAAGUGGAGAAUGACCCGAUAUUAAAAAUAUUGGGAGUAUUUGACCCGUUCAUGCAUGAAAGAGAUUUUAUCUAAUAAGAAUGCUUAAACAGUAAAAAGUAAAAACAAAAUGCAGGUAGGUACCAUGAGCAAAAGACAGGGUUUGCUAAAAAAAUAGGGAGUUCUAACGAAAAGGGCCUGAAACUAUUCAUUCUUAAUCAAAAGGACAUUUUGUGUAUGAAAAAUCCAUAAUGGAUCAUGUUCUUUUCUUUAUUUACUCUUAUGCCGUUACAGUGGGGUUCACAAUGAUGUUGAUAUUUUUGUCUGGGAAUACAUUAUUUUACAUUAUGCUAUUAAACUUAUGCUAAUUUACAGCUAGCUCUUUAGGCUUCCAUAAUGUUAUCGAUGUUGUGCAGCUCUUCUUCUGUCAAAUUAUUCCAGUACUGUUCAUCGCCUUCUACUAACUCCGCAUCUCUUUCUCUAUCUUUUUUCACCUUGUAGUAUAUUUCUACUGUUUCUUCUUUGAAAUUUUGGGACUUCCAAUAAGGCUGAUGACUGAUCAUUGUCUUGCUGUAAAUAUACAUCUCUUUUUCCUCUGCUACUAGUACCAUGUCAUACCUAAAAUCUUCAAACUCAUCUAAGGCAAACAUUUGGAUCCCUCCAAAUUUUAAAAUAUCUUUGUCUGAAGGAGUCCACCUAUGUGAGGAGAUAGGGGAUAGUCUAAAUGACUCUUCAUUAAUCAUGGCUAUAUACCUAGCUUUCUCCUUAUGCAUAUGUACAUACCAGUCUGGAGGACUACUAAUAAAACUUAUGCAAAUUUCUUUCCACCUUUCCGUAUAAUCUUCUGCUACUUUUAAAAGUUUUUAAGGAAAUGAUUCUAGUUGGGAAAUACGGUUAAUAAAUAUUUUAUCAAGAUAACCAAACUCUAAUAGUAAGGUAGGGGUAACUUCUACCACAUUAUGUUUUUUCUGAUGCUCUUAACUAAAAUGCCAUGAUUUAAAAUCUCUCAUGUUAAUCCUAGCCACAGCUACGCUAACUUCUGGUUUACAAAUACAAUUCUCUGUACUAUCACAAAGACAUGGAGGAUACAUCUUUGUAAUAAUAUUCAUCCCUGGUUUUGGAUCAAAGAUGGACUUAUACAAGGCGCAUUGUAAUUGUAAUUGUAACUCUUUCAUGGACUGUGAUGAUCUGCUCAGGAUCUCAUUUUGCAUAUCUGUUGGCAUUAUUCUUAGUUUUGCCUUUGAAAUUUCUUCUAAUAAAAUAUCGUCUAAUAUUAAGCCUGAAGAUAUAUUCCUAAGAAAACUUUCAUAUUUUUCUUUCUUUUUCUUUGUCACUCAGAACCUGAUGCUGCUCAUUACUUUGAUGUUGCUCCAUUUCAACGUCUUCUUCUAAGAAUCUUAAUUUCUUAUAUGGGCUCAUUAGCCUCUUGUUCUAUGGGUUCAAUAACCUCUUUUCCUUUAUUCUUAUGCUAAUCAAUUUCUAAACCUAUUUUUAAUUCUCUUUUCAAGGUGUCACUUGUCUUUUACUACAUUCUAAGAUAUUGGAGUUCUUGGUUCAUUUUGGUAAACUUACCAAGUAAUGACUAAUGGUCCCUGGAGAUGACUUGAAGGUUGUACUCAAGAGAAUGAAUAUGCUGCUGGUUUUGAUGGAGAUUAAAAUUAAAGCUAUCAAACUCUUGUUCCAAGGCUCUAAUUAAUUUUUCAUGACCUAACCUCAUGCUUGGCUGGUUAAUUUGGAUAUUCCAAAAAUUAUCUAAGAGAACCUACUGCCUAUCAGGAAGCCCUGAUACCCUUGAUCUAUAUCUCAGAGUUGGAUUUCUGAUUCCUUCAACAAUAUUGCCAUUAAAGUUGAACGUAGGUACUGGUGGUGAUGCUGGUUUGCUCAUGCUAUUUUGAAAUCCACUGAAUGGUGGAGGUUGAUGGUGCAUCAUCAUGCCAUUGAAAGAAACUCUUCUACCUUGCAGCCUUGUGCUAUUUGCUGAUGAUGGUCCAUGAUAUUCCAUACAUGUUCAACAAAUUAAUCUUGAUAAGAUAUCAGCUAAUGUAUUUGUCAUUACCUUUUAUAUAUUCAAAAAUUGGUUUAAAACCAUUUCCUGUAAUUGAAUCAACAAAAUUAACUCAUCUUCGGGCUGCCUAUUUAUUAGCAUAUAUCUUGUUAUAAUGAGAAACUAUAUUUUGACAAUCUGUUCUAAUCGUAAAUACUUCAUUAUGUAAAAAUAAAGAAAAUGCUUCAAGUGAAUUAAUUAUCCCUAGAAUUUCUAAAUAUGUUGAUGGUAAUCUUGACUGUAUAUCACUAAACUUUCCUGAGAAAUAUCUACAAACUUGUUCGUCAGACUUUGGAGACUCCCUAUGCUUUUUCUGGUAUAGUAUAUCUGCCAAUCCUAAUGAUGAAGCAUCUGUUUCAACUAUCUUGUAACUAUCAUAUAGUGGUAAUGUUAAUGGCUUAAGUUUAGUAAUUUCUUCUUUUAUUUUUUGAACUAAUUUAAUAUCUUCACUAUUAAAAUAUCUUUGUCCUGUUUUGCUAGUUUUACUGUGUAAUACUGCUAUUUUUCUUCCUAAAUCAGGGAUAAAAUUUCUUGCAUAAUUUAGCAAUCCUAAAAAUGCUUGUACUGUUUCUUAUCUUCUAGUUUAUCUAGAAAAUCUAACACCUUUUUAACUAUAUGAUCUUGUAAUUGUAUUGUACCUGACUUGAUAUACAUUCCUAAAAAUUCUAUAUCUUGCUUUUCUAAUUCUAUUUUAUUUUUGCUAAUCACAAUUCCAUUAUUGAUAAAUUAUUGUAAUACUAUUUCUAAAUGCUUCCUAUGUUCAUUCUUAUUUUUACUAUGUACUAAAAUAUCAUCUACAUAAACACUACAAAAAUUAUCAUAUUUCUUGAAAAUUUAGUCCAUCUUUCUUUGAAAGAUCAAUGGCGCAUUUUUAAGUCCAAAUGGCAUAACGAGCCACUCAAAUGUCCUUCUGGACAAGUAAAAGUUGUCCACUCAAUUGAUUCUUCUGCUAAUCUUAUUUUCCAAAAACUUGAUUUAUAAUCAAAUUUGCUAAAAUAUUUACUCUCUUGAAUCUUAUUUAUAAGCUCAUCAUUAUUUGGUAAUUUAUAACUAUCUUCGUAUGUAUUAUCAUUUAAUCUCUUGUAAUUAUAAACUAUUCUAGUCUUACCUCUCUUUAAUUCUGAAUGUUUUCUUACAAUAAAUGCUGCUGAUCUAUGUCUAGACUUAGAGGGUCUGAUUACUUUUAGAUUUAACAACUCUUUUAUUUGCUGCUCAAACUCUUGUUUAUCUAUUAGACUACAAGGCAUAUCAGUCGUCUUAAUGGUUAAAUCUGGGCUAAUUAUAUCUAAUUUUGCUAGUAUUUUAUUUUUACUCCAAUGUAAUUGUGGAUCUUCUCUUAUAAUCCUAGUUUGUUCUGCUAAUUGUAACAACUCUUCUAAACUUUUUGGUCUAUCUAACUGUAAUAUUUCUAUACAGGUUCAUUCUUCUAAAAUCGGAUAUUCAUGUUCAAAAAUGUCUUCAUCAAACUCUUCUACGUUAUUAUGCUCAUCAUUUUCUUUUGAGUUUUCUAAAUGAUAAAUAUCUUGGCCCCUAGGCUCUUUUAUACUUAUGUUUUUGUAUGCUUCUACAAUAUUACUUCGGUCAGUUAUUGUAAUGUCUCUUUUGAAAAAUGUUAUGUUAGAAUUCAUAAAUAAAAAAUCUUGCAAACUUUUCAAAAAGUUUAAACCUAAAAUAAAUGGAUAUGAUCCUACUGGUGAAACAAAUGUUAAUGGUAAAUUAAAUUGUUGUUUUUCUACUUUAAUAAACUCAUUAUUAUUUAUACAAUGUGUUAAGUAAACUGGCCUCUCAUCAAAUUGUGUUAUUCUUACUGGUUUUGCUAAUUUUUGUCUAUAUUUUUUCUGGUACUAACUCUUCUCUUAUGACACUCUUUGUACUCCCCGUAUCUAUCAUAGCUAUCGUUUGUAUCUUAUGUUCUUUUGCUAAUUCUAUUUCACAAUUUGGUAAUUAAAGAACUAUUUUUUUGGUUUUUCUAUACUAUAAACAAUAUUUCCUAAUAUUUCAGUAUUUUCUUGUGAUUCUGCUGAAUUAACUUCUAAUAACCUAUUAUUAUAACAUUUUUCACAUAAUAUUGAAUAUGUCUUAUAGUAUUUAUUUGCAACUAAUUUACUACACUUAUGACAUUUUUCUGGCCAACCUAAAUUGAUGUAUUUUUAUUCUUCUUUAUGCUGUUCUUCUAUGAAUGCACACAUAUACUCUUCUAGAUCACUAUUUGUGUUACUUGAAUCUUCUGAGUCUGAAUCUAUCAUGUUAAUCAUCUCUAUACUAUAAAUACUCUCAUUAUCACUUAAAUUAUCUAAACUGUAUAUUGACUGAAUAUCCUCAUCUUCUUCUAACUUAAAUAACUCUAUCAAAUGUACUUUUUCUUUCGACUGUUUACCUAAUUUUGGAUAUUUAGGUCUAAUAUGCCCAGCUUCUCCACAUGAAUAACAUUUACAAUUACUCUUAUCUUUUGGUGCUUUAUAUUUUCUAAUCCAAGGUUUGCCAUUUCUUUUUCUAAAUUGUUUUGGAAUAUAUUUUCUUUUCCUAUAUGUUCUUGAAGGUCUUAUGCUAAAAUUCUUAUGUUGUUUGUAGGGUUUAUACAACUUAUAUUUCUUUUUGUAUAUUUUCUUAUGGCAACCAUACUGUUGUGGUAAAUCUAUAUUUUUACAACACACGUAAAAUUGUUUCCUAAUUUGUCUCUUAGCUUUUAUUUGACUACACUCUUGUCUGAGUAUAUCAUAUACAUGUUGAAUUCUAGGUCCUAUAGCAAUAUCAUUUUUCUUCGGAUGCUUUUGCCAUUCAUUCCAAAUCUUUUCACUUAUUGGUCCUUUUAUUUUUGUCAUAUAAGUAUCUAAUAAAUUAAUAUCACUAAUUCUACUUGUUCUUCCUAAAUAUUUAAAGAAAUCUGUGGUAUACUUAGCUAUAUAUUGUAAAUCGCAAAUUUGUAAUUGUUCUAAAUUUCUGAUUGCUCUUAUUUGUUCUUGUUCACUUCUGCCAUCUAACCUAUUAUGAUCUAAAAACUCUUGUUUAAUCAAAGUAACAAAACCAUCAAUAUUAAAAUGUGUUUUAGCUGCCUGAUGCUGUUCUGGAUUUUGAACUUUCCAUGACUGAAAAUAAUCGAAAACUAAACCAUCCAAAGUAUGCUCAAAGUAAUCUAACAUAUUUGUGAAUUACUAAAAUCUAACAUUAAUGCUGCAUGUACGAAGCUUUUUUCCCAUCUCUCAAUCGUUCUUUUCCCAAUCUUGUGGAUCUACAUUAUCUAAAUUUAAUAUAUUACCAGCUAUAUUAAUUUGUUCUAACCCUCUUAAAUAUGGAAUCCUAUUUUUUCUAGGUUUUAUCAUACUUUUUUCCAUAUAGUCUACUUUUGCUUUUUCAUUAUAUUAUUCAUUUGUUGGUCUCAAAAAUUGUUGAUCAGUUUUACUUGCGUGUCCUGGAUUUUCUACUCCUGAUGUACUACUUUCUUUAGCUGGGUUACAUUCUACUUUCAAUUCUAAUAAAUUAUUAUAUUCUUUUGAUCCUAGUGUUCUACUCCUAUUUCUAAGAUUAAAAUUUUCAUUUAUUUGUCUGAAAUUUUAUGUAGUCCUAAAUCAUAUGUCUUAUAUUUUUCCAAAUAUUGUUCUUCAUCUAAAUAAUCAAUAUCUUCUAUAAGUUUAUCUACAAUAUGAUCAAAAUUUUGUUCAACUAAAUUAAUAUCUAAAUUAUCAAAAGCCAUAUUUAUACUCUCAUUUUCGAUUUCACUCUCAUCCUCUUCUAUUUUUUCUAGUUACUUAUAAUUACUAAACCUAAUUGUUGCUUGACCUGUACUAGUUUCAUAUAUUUGUACUUUAUCUGGUUGUCUAUUUUGUGCUACUUGUAAAUUAGGCAAUGUUCACUGAGUUUCUUCUAAAAAGCUAUUAUCUACGGGUUUUGCUUCUAUCAUAUUUACAUGUUUACUGCCAAAUGUUUGAACUAAAUUUUGAAAUUCUAAAUUAAACUUAUGAUUAUAUCUAUCAGACACUUUACCUAUAUACAUUAAGCUAAUACACAAAUUUUUAUACUCUCCUUUCAUAUUAUAAUUUUUUGUUCUUAUACUCACUUUGAUAUAUUUACUAAAUUCAUUAAUCGUCAUAACAUAAUUUGGAAUACAACCUAUGACUACUAAGUUUGAACUUAAGUCUACUUCAGCUGUUGCUAUUGUUGCUUGUUGGUGAUUAUCCCAUCUAUCAUCAUAUAUGUAUACUAAAGCUUUUGUACCUACUUGUGCUCUGGUUAAUCCUGCUAUUUCAAUUAAUAUUGUUCUUAUAUGAAUCUGACUAAAAUGUGAUUUUCUCAAAUGAGUAACUGCUUCUUUACUAAUUAGAUUAAAUGUGACUUCUUUAUCAAUACAGCAAACUUCAUGUUGACUGAUGCUGCUUAUAAUUCUACUUCUGUUUUCAAAUAAACCUAAUUGAUAUAAGUUAUAUUUAUUUUUCUGUGUUCUAUCAAAACCUCUUCUAAUAAAUUCUUGUGCUUCUUCUUCAUUUGGAUAAAUAUUUUCAGCCCUAACUACUUCUUUUCUUUUUUUCCUAAAGAGUUCCAUUUCCUAUUAUCAAAAGGAUUUAGCUUAGGUCUUCUAUUAUUAUUUGCACUUAAAGUUAAAUUUUCUAAUUUAUCUAGUAAAGAUGGUGGAAGUGAUGAAGAUGUGUUAUGUAAAACUUGAUUUAUUUCUGCUAUUUGUUCUUCAACUUGAUCUAAUUUUUCAGCCAAACUUAAAACUAAUUGGAUAAUCAAAUUAUUUUUCCUAAUGGGAAUAUUACUACUGGAUACCUGUGCUGAAAAAUCUGUUAAACCUACUGGUUCUUUAUCUAACUUACUAAUUUCUUUCAAAGCUUGGAUAUAUUUUCUGCUUGUUCUAGAAUCUGUCAUUAAACCAAUAAUUUAUCUAUUUUAUUAUGCAACUUAUCUACUUGUUCACUCAACUCCUUUUGUACUAAUUGAAUUUUUGGAACUUCUAAUUUUAGUUGUUCAACUAUUUCUAAUGACCUAACUUCUACUUACUUUGGCUUAUUAUCUAUGAGGUCAACAAGCUCUUUUAUCUCUCUUUUGCUAGGAAACCUUUGAAUAUUUUUAUUAUUAUCUUCUAACUGAGAUGUAAUAUAGUCUAAAUUUUGUUUGAUUAUCUUUAUGGAAUUUUUCUGAAAAAUGUUCUAACAACUGGUUUAACAAAUGAUUAUGCUUAUUAUUUUCUAAUUUUAUAUUUUCUGCUUGACUAAUAAUAAGAUCUACAAUACUAUUGGCUUGCGGAUUUUCUUCACUGUGUAAAAUAUGAUUAUGCUUUCUUGAUGGAAAAUAGCAAACUAAACUAUUUUGGUCUAUAGUUAUUUUUCUUUUUUGAGGUUCACUAAUUUCUAAAUUAAGAUAAUCUAUCAUAAACUACAGUCUACCAUUCUCUAGAGUUACAGCUAACUGGUUUCUUAAAAACUCUCUUUCUUUCUCAAGGUCUCUAAAACUUGAUCUGUUGUUCUUUUUGCUUCUAAAACUUUAUGCUGCACUUCUGUGUUAUUAUAUUUACGAAUAAAUGAAGGAUGUUCAAGAUAGCCAAAAUAAAACUUUUGCUUCUUCAAAGUACUGAUAAUUCUUUUGGAUAUAUAUGCUAAUCUUCUCUUCAUGCUAGUUAUAGUUGGAUGUCUGGGACAAUAAAUACCUGGUAAUUGUGGUUGACAAGGUCUACAAGGACAAUAAUAUCUGUUGUUCAUACACAAUAAACAAAUAUGAUAUCAGUUGUAUCAAUGACUUCUAUCCUCAAGGUACUUUACUAUUAUGCUUAUACUAUUAAAAUGCUAAACUUGGCUCUUAUACCAAAUUCGAAACGCAUGCUUGGUUAAAUAGUCGGAUGACCAUUAUAAUAACUAGACAUAGAACCUUACACAUGGAACUCGACAUGUUUCAGCAUGACGGCCACUCACAGCACAAGUAUAAGGCCUUAACGGCUGAACUCAGAGGUACGAAGAACUCAGAGAUACCCUGGUUAAUGUCUAGUUAUUUGUAUGGCAAGCAUUCAACUAUAACAGAGUACUCGAACAAAGUAUGAUCGUCAGUUUAGCAGGUUAAUAAUAUAACCACAAUAGUGUUUCCCUGUUUUGGACUAGAAGUCUAAUUAAACAAACACACUAAAGAAGGAAAAGAAAACUUACUUAAGACUUGGAGAUUGCUUGAAUAUGUACACUUGAACUUUUAUUGAUAUAUGGAAUGUUUACAGAGAUAGUUGUUUACAAGAAAGUGAUUACAAAGAAAUGUUUACAAGGAUGCUAUGAAGGCUACGAAUGCUUGAGUGUAUGAAGUGAGUAUUGUGUUUUCAGAUGUUGAGAGAGGUGUGUAGUAUUCAGGUGAGUUCUGUAUGGGAGGAAAUGCUCCCUUAUAUACAAAUCUAAUUCUUCAAAGACAAAAUAACAUUUCAUCUAUUUACAAUUUUUUGAAUAGUGAUAGCACACUGUUUCUGAAAGCUGGCUGUCUUGUCUUUGCUUGAAUGUCAUGUGAAUUUAUGUUGUCUUGGUUGCUGCAGUGUUUGCCACAUUUUCUUUUGCAUGUGAAUCUAUAUUGUCUUGGUUGUUGCAAUGUUUGCCACCUAUCCUUUUGCAUGCAAAUGCUUUCUGAAAAUGUCAAUCUCCUUUUUCUUCUUUUGGAUGUAUCCACAUGAACUUUGCAGAAAACUGACCCAAUCUUGUACAUAUGUGUGAAGGGUAGGAUCAUAAUUUUUGAAAAAAUCUGUCCUGAUGAUUAAAAGUAAAGUCUUGAGGGUGUUUUGGUUAGUUUUACAAAACAAAUAAGAACAAAAAACUAAAAGGUCCAGUGAAAUAUGAACAAAUUCAUAGGAGAUUUUCUACAAAUUUCACAUUACUUUUCUUCUUUCGAUGAUGUGGUAUGGUUACAUUGUAGUAAGGUUUGGUUUGUGGUUAUUUUUGGUGAAAUUUGUGUUCUCUUCCGCUUUUACUAGCAAUCACACAUAUACUAUGAAUGUGAGGAGACAAGUAAAAUUUAUUUGAUAGGGAUGAAAAUUUGAACCAAUGUAGGUAAAAAAAGAGACUAUUGAAAUUUGAAUUAGUCAACAAGACUAUUUGAGUUCAACUCCGUUUGGUAGUUGGGACUGGACAUGAGUGGUAUUCUCAAGUAGAGCACCUUGGGGAAGGAACUUGUGUCUCUAAUAUGUAGGACAUUUUCUCAAUGUAAUUGGUUUAGUCUCCCCAUUAUUAUGUUCAUCAAACAUAUGGGACACAUGUUAAAAUGCUAAAGUCGGUCCAUCCGUUUUAUGAAGCAGGUUGCUUGCAUUGCAAGAAACAAGCACUAGGGGAGAUUCUAGGCUUAAAAUCUGAAAGAGCUCUUCUUUCUCCACUCUUUCUCCUUAAUUAUGCCAAGUGCUAAUGAAUUCCCUCUUUCUUUCUAGUCAUUAGAUUGAAUUAAUCAACUGAAAAACAAGGUAAAUAACAAAAACUUCAUCUUUCCUUCUUUCAGUUGUUAUAGGUUGCGUCAUUCUCAUCACUCUCUAUUUGGGGAACUUCCAGAUUCUAAAACUGGUGCCUAAUCACAAUUUCUGGUAUUUUAGGCAAAACUCAUUAUCUCUGCCCUGUUUUUUCAUUUUUGUUUUUCAUUUGGUUGUUUGAUCAUUUUUUUUUCAAUGUGGGUCUUGAAUCUUGAUCAAUUUUGUUUGAUUAACUUCGGUGUGGACUAAGCUUUAAUUAAAAAGAUGAAAGAUCAACAAUUGAACGUUCAUGAGCCGACCAACCUAUUUGAAUGCAAAAGAUACAGUUCAGUUCUUCAUUCAUCACCAGGUACAAAUUUUGCCACUCUCUUAUUGUGCAUGUUGACAUUUCUUUUGUGUGAAAACUUAAAAUUGAAAACACAGUUGCUACUACUAAUGUUAGAUUCGACCUUGCGGUCUUUACAGAAAUCAGAAAUGGGAAUUGAUUUGAAGUGCACUGUCUGCAUUACUUUGGUAUAGUGGAUAAUGCAUGCGGUUUUACAUUGAAAUAUAUGUUUAUCCUAGAGUUAUUGUGCACUUUGAAAUGUUGUUGAUGGUGUCACAAAUUUUGUUGUAGAAGAUGGGGUGAUUGUGAGGCUAUGGGGCGUUCCUGAAGACUCAGUUUGACCCCUUUCAGAAGUAAUGGUGUCACUGUCACUGACCAAUGUUGAGAAUGAUGUUGGAGGAGCAAUAUAGGUCGCCACCGGCAUCUUUGAUGGGAGAAUAGGCAAUGGAGCUUCGAAGUUAAGCACUUGAAUCGCUUGUUGAAUUGAAGAUCUGAAUAUAUAUUGCGGGUGAGCACACCAUAGCCCAACAAUCAUCAAGCACUCCAUUUGUUUCUCAUCAAAAUGACCAUAGAGUUUUGGAUCGGCUGCUUGAAUAACAUUCCCUUCUUCAUAAAGCCCCCAAACCCACUUCACCAGUUCGAUUUGGCUACUUUCUAAUUUGAAAUCAAUGGGUUUUCUCCCACAAGCUAUUUCCAAAGAAACAACUCCGAAGCUGUAGACAUCUGAUUCCUUGGUAGACUUUCCUGUGGUAACAUAUUCUAGAGCCAUGUAGCCUCGGGUUCCUGCCACAAUUGUUGUUAGUGACUGUUCUCCAUGGUCUACAAGUCUAGCUAACCCAAAAUCUCCAAGUUUCACGUUGAAGUUUGAAUCCAGCAUAACAUUGCUCGACUUGAUAUCCCUGUGAAGCACACAUGGUUCCCAUUCUUCAUGUAGAUACAAUAACGCAGAGGCCAACCCCUUGGUAAUGUUGUAUCUCACCUGCCAACUCAACAAGCUAUUUUCUUUAAAAAGAUGGGAAUCUAAACUUCUGUUUGGCAGGAACUCAUAAACGAGUAGUAGUUCUCUUUUUUCAUGGCACCAACCAAUGAGUUGCACCAAAUUCCGAUGCCUAAGUCUGCUAAUGAUCCGCACUUCUGAUGCGUACUCCUUCAUCCCUUGCUUAGAUCCGCUGGAUAUCCUCUUAACAGCAACUUGUAAGUUUAAGUCUUUUAUGAAGCCUCUGUAAACCCCUCCAAAUCCUCCCUCUCCCAGCUUCUCUCCCUCCUCAAAUUACUGGUCGCUUGAGCCAACUCGUGGUAAGAAAACUUCCUUGGGCCGGUUACAUUUUCCAGUUCUUUAUCAAUCAGUUUAUUACAAAAGAGAUUCUCAUCAAGUCCGUCUACUGCUUUGCUUUUCUUCCGAUAUAUGAACCAAACCAAACCCAACCCAGCAAACAAGAUUAGAGACCCAGCAAUACCCAACCCGAGCAGGAGUCCCAUUUUGGAUUUUCCGGGCCCGGGAUUAACACCGGAUGGUGCAAUAGAUUCUGGUUUGUUGUGCGUAGGAUCGUCAUCAACCAGAGCAGUUGAAGUGAAAUUCCAUGGAAUGAUCUUAUGAACAGCAAUAUCUUGACCUUUAGCAGCAGAGAACCCAACAAUUACCCAAUCUGGCAAGUAUUGUUUCAAAUCAAUUAUGUAAGAAAGAUAUUUGAUCACCUCCACUUCAGUACCAUUUGUACCAUUUUGAAAACUCGUGAAUGCAACACUCAGAUUUUUUGAGAUGGAGUUAUAACUAAUCCAAGCAUCGUUUCGUUUUUCUUCAUUAAUAUCACCAUUCCAGGGAGUGGUAAUGUUAGACUUGAGAGAGUUGAUGUCAAUGCCCACAUGAUCACCGACCGGAGCCCUGAUUACAGGCUGCUCAUUCCUGUAGAUAUCAAACUCCACAGCCACAAAAGGAUACAGCGUCCUUGUGGUGUCCUGGUAGUUCCUCGACGGGCAGGCCAAGAUGGCCACCACCUCCUGCUGAAAUGUUGAGUAAGGAACCACUUGGAGCUAUGAAAAACACCAUCCCGUCGGCAUGACCUGAAUCGAUCAUGAAUGUGAAGUGUGUGGUAAAAUCAGCGAUUUUUCCUGUAGAGGUUUCCCAGAGGAGGAAGGGUUGAUAGUAGGUGGCUUGGCCGACAUUUUUAUUUUGUCUGGCGCUUCUGGUGAGUUUGAUGACUUGCUCAUCUAUGUAAGCUGCUCCCUAGAGAAAUAUACCAGUGUUGCCAAUGGUGAAGCUGUCGUAAUUGAAGGCCAAGGGAGAUGCGGAAGGGAUAAACAGAAGGAAGAGGAGGAGGAGGGGUAGAAGCUUUGCGGAAGGGAUAACCAUAGUAUCCAACUUUAUGUAGAGACAUUUUGCACAUUGCUUGUCAACUAUUAAGUAGAGCGAUCAUCUUUUCUUGUAAACCAAGAAACGAGUGUUUUUACAGCACAGAGUCAGUGUUUUUUGGAUUCACUGUCUUGUUGAAACUACAAUAGUAUCUAGAUUCAAGAGUACAUAAUAUAUUUAUCUACAUGUGUUUUGGUUUGAUGUGAAAACUGAAGGAAUGAAUGGACGGCAGCUGAACACUGAAGGAACGAAUGGAUGGCAGCUGAUUUUUUUGUAUAUGUUGACAUUGGGAAGACAUGGAUAUCGUCGUUUGAACUUGGUGGUCAUACUUGAGUAUUGGGUUUUUCUUUUGAUGCUGUUUCUCUGUGCAUUUUGACAUGUACAUUUCUGAAUGCCCUGGUAGAAAGAACCUCUCUUUCACUUACUGCUUUUCGAGUAAAAACCCUCUUGCUAUCUCUUGUUAUAAAUUUAUGAGUAUAACAUAUAAUUACGACAUGAUGGUAGUCGAACAUAUUUACUUAAAGAUACUCACUAUAAAAAAAUGCAUUUCACACAAAUUUAUAUAUUUGUGUAACAGAGUGAGAUUAAAUUUAUCUUGUAUACAAAAGUGAGGCUGAUGGAAAAGAAUUGGAUGCAGAAGAUGAGGUGAAUUGUGAGGAGUUGGUGUUGUAACCAUGACCCGAAGACUCUGUCUGACGUCUUUCCAAAUCAGUAUUGUAACUCGCCGAGAUUGAAAAUGAUACCGGAAGAGAUACGUAGCUGGCCACCGGCAUCUUUGAUGGGAGAAUGGGCAACGGAACUUCGAAGUUAAGUACUUGAAUUGUUUGUUGUAUCGAAGGCCUCAUCAUGUAAUCCGGAUGAGCACACCACAGCCCAACAAUCAACAAACACUCCAUCUGUUUCGCAUCGAACUCUCCACACAAUUUAGGGUCAGCUGCUUCAAUGAUUUUCCCUUCUCCAUAAAGCUCCCAAACCCACUCCACCAUGUUAAUUUGAGUCCUUCCAAACUUUGGAUCAAUGGGUUUUCUCCCGCAAGCUAUCUCCAAAGCAACAACUCCAAAGCUGUAGACAUCUGUUUCCUUGCUUGCCUUUCCUGUGGUAACGCAUUCCGGAGCCAUGUAUCCCAUGGUUCCAGCCAGAACCGUGGUUUGCGAUUGUUUUCCAUGAUCCACAAGUCGAGCUAAUCCGAAAUCCCCAAGUUUGGCGUUGAAAUUUGAAUCGAGCAUAAUAUUGCUCGAUUUAAUAUCCCUGUGCAGCACACAUUGUUCCCAUUCUUCGUGUAGAUAGAACAACCCGGAUGCCAAGCCUUGAGCAAUUCUGUAUCUUGCCUCCCAAUGUAACAAGGUUUUCGGUUUGAACAAAUGGGAAUCUAAGCUUCCGUUGGACAUGAACUCGUAAACAAGCAGGAGCUCUCCUUUUUCAUGGCACCAACCGAUUAGUUGCACCAGAUUCCGAUGCCUAAGUCGACUGAUGAUCCUUACUUCCGCCGCGUACUCCUUCAUCCCCUGUCUAGACCGACUUGACACCCUCUUAACAGCAACAUACGAGUCCAAGUCUUUUAUGAACCCUCUAUAAACCCCACCAAAUCCUCCUUCUCCAAGCUUUUCUCCCUCAUCGAAAUUACCCGUGGAUCGAGCCAAUUUCUUGUACGAAAACUUCUUCGGGCCCGUCCCCUUCUCGAAUUCCUCAUCGAUCGAGUCGUUCACCGUAGGAUCCUCAUCAUCACUACUUCCCCCUGUUUUUCCCUUCCUCCAACAAAUGCACCAAACCAAAACCAACCCACCAGCCAAAACCACACACCCACCAACAACCAGCCCAACAAGCAGUCCGACAUUGACCCCGUUUUCUGGCGCCGAGUUGUUAAACUCGUUCUCAUCGCGCAGUUCUGUAGAACUAAAAUUCCAUGAGUUGAUUUUAUGUAGAGCUGUAAGAGUCCCUGUCGCGGCAGUGAACCCAACAACAACAUAACCCUGCAAGUACUCAUUCAGGUCUACAAUGUAACUAAUAUUCCUCCACACUAGGGAAGCAUUCUCAAAACUAGUGUAAACAACACUAAGAUUUUUGGAUCCAGAAUCGUAGCGAAUCCGAGCAGUAUUUUCCCCUCCGGUUGUAAUGGAUCCAUUCCAAGGCUUUGUAACUUUAGACUUGAGAGAGUUCAUGUCAAUACCAACAUGACCGCCGUCAGGAUCUUUGAUGGAAAUUCGGUUAUUCUUGUAGAUAUCAAACUCCACUGCCACAAAGGGGUACAGAUUCGUCGAUUCAUUAUUUGGCAGCUCUAUGACGGGGAGGCCUAGAUAGCCGCCUAGGCCUACUGUGGUGUUGAGUGAGGACCCGUUUGGCGCCAAAAAGAAGGCGAGUCCGUCGCCGUAGGGCGUUUUGUCUAAGGAGUCGAUGGCGAAUGUGAAGUUUGUGGUGAAAUCAGCGAGUUUUCCGGUGGCGUUCUCGCGGAGGAGGAAGGGUUGAGAACAGGUGGCUCGGCCGACACUUUUGUUCCGUUGGAUGUCGGCAGCGCUAUUAGUCAGACGGAGGAACGUGCCGUCGACGGAAGCAUCUCCCUCGAGAGAUAAAUUGCGGGGGACUUUUGGGAAGGAGGAGAAGUUGAAGGAUAAUGGAGCUGCACAAGGAAGUAGCUGAAACAAGAGAAGUUUGAGAAGAAGGACAACCACCAUGUUUGUAAUGCUUUUACAGAUUAAACUGUUAUCAUCUUAAAAUAUAGCAGAGAUUGUAGAGUUUAAUUAUUAUUAUUUUAAUUUUUUUUAGGGAUUUUAUCUGCAGCCGCCUUUGUUUACCUGAAAAUGAGCAGUUGACUUGCUCUGUAGCUGAAGUUUUCUUUUGCUAAAAUAUCAUUGGUUAUUAUAAUCUCCCGAUCACACUGAAACUUUGUUUUUCGAAAUAACGCAGCUUGACUGACUUGCUCUAAUCUAAUCAGCAGCCCCAUUUAUCGAGUUGGGUUUUUCUUUUGCUGAAAUGUCAUUGGUCAUGUCCAUCGAUCCAAUUCAAAAGUUUAAUUAAUACAUCUACGGCAUAUUUUUAUUUAUUUGGGAAACUCGAUGGUUGGAGGUAAACUUUAUUAUUUUUGAAAAAAAUUAAGUACUAUGCGGUUGGGGUUAAAAAAUCUUGUACAAAGAUGUUGUAAGUCUCUAACCAAGGGAAGCUACCAUCAUUAGAUAAACCGCACUCUGCAAUCCAACAAGCAACAUUGGCUAGUAGACUGGCGCUUAGGGGCAGUUUAAUAAUUAUUUUGUUUUUAACUUUUAGUUUCGUUGGUUUUUUAAUUGAAAACUAUUAAAUAAAUUAUCAAUAAAGUAGAGCCGAAAACAGUUUACGAAAAAUUGAACUGUCAUGGAUUAAAAUUGCCCAAGAUUUUUGUUGCGUGGUUGAAGAAUAGACGAUGGUGGAAAAUUUGCGCUCAUUCCACUCAGGACUGUUUCUGAGAUUUUGGAGGUUCUGUGUGAAAUUCAUAAAAGGGGCUCUUCUUAUACGACAUCUUAAAAAAAAAUUGAACAACGUAUUGAUGUUAAAAAACAAUAUCGAAAUAGCUCAUUUUUUAGGCUGAAUCAAUUGUUUAACUUUUCUUUUUCUUUGACGCUUCAAGUAGCUAGAUGUAUAUUUUCUAGUAAGUGCUAUCUUUUAUAACUCAAACAAGAUCACAAUAAAAUUAUAGUAAGUAUGAACGAUAAAACAUGAUAAUCCGUAAUACGUGUGCGUCUAACGAUUUUUUGUGACUGCUCUUCUCUUGAUUUUGCCCUGAAAAGUACCCAAAAAAAAACAUUAUAGACGAAAAAUAGCCAAAUCUUCAAGUCAAUAUACUUAAAUUAGUAAAUAUCAUGCUUUGAUUGAAGUCUCCUUCAUUUUGAUAAUUUGGAAGUUUCUCUUUAAUUUCAUAAAUUUAUAAAUUAAGGUUUAAUAAUUGUGGGAAAUCUAACAAUGGGACGAAGAGAGAAGGGAAUUACACUGGGAAUCUAGGACAUUGGCACAACGUGUUACAUCCCAGACCGGGACAUAUCACUUCCCCGGCCCGUUUCACCACCGUAGCACGAUAUUGUCUGCUUUGGGCCCCGACCAAGCCCUCAUGGUUAUUGUUUCUGGGAAUUCACGAGCAACUUCUCAGUGGGUCAUCCAUCCUGGGAGUGCUCUGGCCUCCUUCUCGCUUAACUUCAGAGUUCCUAUUGAACCCGAAGUCAGUUAGCUCCUGAAAUGCCUCGUGCUAGGUAGGGAUGAGAAUAUACAUUUGAAGAUCAUUCCCCGGAUGAUUUGGGAUGUCACACAACGUCUAUGAUUCCGGUGCUUUUGUACUGGUAGUCUGCUAUGAAAAGAAGAAAGUGGAACAUAGUGAUGGGAUUUUGGCGUGAGAGGAAUACUGUCUUUGAAUUGUUUGCCUCGAUCAGUGGGCUUCUCUGAUUAACUUUGCCCUUUGUUAAUUAUUUUUUUAUAUAUUUUCGUACAAGUUGUAGGUAGUCUGAUGGGUGAUGGCUUUUAGGUACUUGGUCAGUGGGCUUCUCUGAUUAACUUUGCCCUUUGUUAAUUAUUUUUUUAUAUAUUUUCGUACAAGUUGUAGGUAGUCUGAUGGGUGAUGGCUUUUAGGUACUAGUAAUCUGACUUUGAUGGGUAGUAGUCUGAUGGCUUUUGGCCCAUCAAAUUUUUUUAUGCAUAUAUUUUGAUUUGAUUUUGACCCAUCUGAUUUUUAUAUGUAUAUAUUUUGAUUUGAUUAAUAUCUUUAUAUAUUAUUUUUAUAUAAUAUUAUUUUAUAUAUAUUAUUAUAUUCAAAUUUUUUUUUUUGGGGUUUUGAGGACCCUAUGCCAUCGAACCGGUCGCACUCUCCCAACGCCGACUCUGAUUCCACUACGCGUUCAUUGUGGGAACAAAAAACUGAGUCUAUGAUGGAUUUUUCGUCUUUUAAAAUCUUUGUCGGGACGAUGGUGCUUGGAAACAAUACAUGAAAAAGAAGGGGAGACAUAAACCAUACCCUUCUAGAAACGAAAACAAGAGAGAUACAAAGAAAAGAGGGGGAGAUAUGAAACCUAACCCCUCUGAAACCAAACCUAAAGGUCUAAACCUACAAAACAAGUUGAGCAACACCACAAAGUUAGGGGAAAAAAAAAAGUAAGACAAACAUGGAUGUCAAGAUGCACAUUAAUUUGAGAAGCGGUAACCAGGCAAGCCAACAUAGUCCAAAAACAAUGCAACACGAGCCGCUGGCGAAAGAGAACCAUGCCAAGUUAAAGUUGGAGAAGACAAGCCCAUGUUAGUAAAAUUGUCCGCAACAAAAUUUCCCUCCCGAUAUAUGUGAGAUGAGUAGAAAGUCAUUUUUUGAAUGCAGUCCAAACAAAUAGACCAUUGUGUACGAAGAGGCCAUGGGGGAUCAAAAUCAGACGAUUGAAGAGCAGAAAUAACACCAGAGCUGUCACUUUUCAUAUGCAAACUCCAUACCAAUAAUAAUUGCAGAUAAUUCUGCAAAAAAAAAAAAAAAAGUUGCGAUAACCAAUCCACUGGCAGAAACCACCAAGAAAAUGACCAUGGCAAUUCCUGAAAACUCCUCCACAAGCAGUAGGACCGGGAUUUCCUUUAGAUAAACCAUCUGUAUUAAGUUUAAUCCAAGGAAACCAAGGAGGAGACCAAAGGACAUGAAUAAUAGUAGGCGCCUUGCGAGAGAUAGGUCAGAUCCCCAUUGUUAGAUGUACAUAUUUAUUUUGAUUUUUUUGGUCUUUUGUUUACUAAUGAGGUGAAGAGAAACUACAUGAAUGAUACGACAAAUGAGUUAUAACUACUUUUAUUUUAUAUUAUGUUUUGUAACAAGUAGGAUAAGUUACAUUAAUUUAUAGAGAGAGGGACUCAAAAAUGGGACUUUGAGUAUAAAGAAGAAUGCUCUUAACCAACUGAGAAUUAAUUAACUAUAGACGACAAGCAAGGCAGAUUGGAAUACGAAUAUCUCAAAAGCUUGGUCAUGGACUCAACAACUUUUAUCGCAUAUCUACACAAACGGACCACCGAUGCCACCAUCAUCCUGAUCGGAUAAGUGAGUGAAGUCCGUCGACUUCGCUGAGACUGACCAUUCUUUCUCCCCAAGAUACGAAAACCUGAUCCGGUAUGAAAUCAGCCAGGUUUCUUAUAUUUUUGGAGAUUCUUACAAUUUAAGGAUUUUGCGUGCGAAGUAAGUACUCACACUUAAAAGAUGAUGCAAUAUCUACUCCUAGAUAUCUUUUGGGAUUCUCCAAGUGUAAUACGGAUUCUGGUAAUCAUGUCAUAUUAAAGUUGGAGAAGACAAGCUCAUGUUAGAAAAAUUGUCCGCAACAACAUUUCCUUCGCUAUAUAUGUGAGAUGCAUAGAAAGUCAUUUUUCGAAUGCAGUCCAAACAAAUAAACCAUUGCAUACAAAGAGGCCAAGGGGGACUUGUGGUCAUUGGUUCCUUAUCUUAGUAUUCAUUUCACAACAACAAAUGAUGAUCACUUGGAUCAUUCAUGAACCGAGAUACUACACUGAUUGUGUAAACUAUAUAUGUCUUGUAUUAGAUAAAUAAAUUAGUGAGCCAACAACACGUCUAUGCAUAGAAGCAUCAACUCUUGGUAAGCAAGAUGGGGUUCCACCAUAAAACCAAUUGGUUUUAUGGUGGAACCUCAACUUUCUAGAUGGUAUGGUUAUCCCACGUGUGAAGCACACCAGCCAUUUGUGAUCCAUAUUACCCUGAUUAUGCGCUUAAAAAUUCGCUAAACUUGGGGGGUGUUGAGAGUAGAAAUCCCUCAUCGGAUUAGGUGGAACCUCAAUUUUCUACUUGGUACCAGAGCAUGUUGUCCAUGUGUGAAGCCCAACGGCCACACGUGCUCUACAUCACUAAAGUUAUGGUAUCCACGUGUUAGGCUUGAAAAAUUCGCCACAAGUAAAGGGGCGUGUUGAGAAUAAAUAUCACAUUGAUGAGAAAAUGGGCUUUAUAUGUACUUAUAAGUAAUUGAACUACUCCCCAUAUUGGCAAUUGGUUAUCACUUGAAGCUUUGAAUUAAUUGCCAUUGAAGCAUCAAUUGGCUUGCAAUUCAACGUAUUGAAUCUUUUCAAGAGGUUUUCUACAUACUUUUCUUGAUACAUAAAAGUCCCUUCAUCCAAUUGUUGGACAUCAAUUCCUAGAAAAUACUUUAUAGUGCCCAAAUUUGUCAUCUCAGAUUCUUUCAUCAUGCCCUUCUUGAAUGCUUCUGCCAUCCUUGUACUUGUAUAAAUUAAGUCAUCAACAUAAAGACAUGCAACAAGAAAUUCACAUGUACCUUCUUUCUUGAGAUAAAGUGAUGGCUCACUUGGACUUCUUACAAAUCCACUUUGACGAAAGUAUUGAUCAAUUUUGCUAUGUCAGGCUCAUGGCCCUUACUUUAAGUCAUACAAUGCUUUCUGAAAUCGACAAACUUUGUCUUCCUUCCUUUUUCACUAUAUCGUUGCAACUGCUCCACAUAAACUUCUUCUUCAAUGUAUGCAUUAAAAAAAAUGAAAACUUGACAUCUUAUUGAAAAACUUGAGUUCUCCAUGUUUAAUGAUGUUUGAAGUUCAACUCCCUUUUUAAUGAUAAAAGAGAAGUAUUAAUUUAUUUAAGGGUAAUGUUAGUGUUCCCCUCAUGGGCGAACCUACUUGUCUACCCACUUACGAUUAAAGAAUGUUACUGUACGAAAAUCAUAACCGAACUGUUCAUUGUCUUGUUAUCAUCUAAAGAUCAUAUAUACAAAAACUUAUUCAAUUUGGAGAUCGUUUAGCCUUUCAUAUGCAUAAAAUAAAUAGAUGGAGGAUGCUACUUGUUACGAAAAUAGUUGACUGGGUUGACACAUAAUGACUAAACUAUCACCAAAUUGAAAGAUCUUAGAUAUAAUCUUUAGAUGAUCAUAAAGAGAAUAAGUUGUUCCGAUUAUGAUGUUCAAACGAUAAAGAUACAUUAAUCAUAAAUAGGAAAACAAGUAGGUUGCCCCAUAAGAGAACAAGUAUUAUCCUUUUAUUUAGUGUCGGUGCAUUUUUUGUCAUGUUACAAAUGGGCUGCAUUGAUAUCCAUUUCAUUUUAGUUUCUACUUGUCAGAAUUUUCAUUGUCAACUUGAAAUUAAAAUAUUUGGAUCAAAACUGAAGAGUAGCGCGAUGGUGAUGGAGACUCGUGGGAGAUGAUGUUGUUACUUUAUUAUCAUUGAAGUAACAACAAUGUCGUCGGCAUAUUUACUUCAAGAUAUUCACUACAAAAAAUAAAUUACACAAAAAUUUGUAUACUUUAUAACAGAGUUAGAUUAAAGGGUAAAUUACAAAAAACUACCUCAAUUAUUGGUGUCACGACACUUUCAUACCUCAUCUUUUAAAGUUGACAAUGUCAUACCUCAUUUUAUGAAUUUGUGCCAAUGUUAUACUUUCCGUUAAUUUGCCGUGAAUUUUUCAAUUAAAUGCUGACGUGGCUUGAUUCGAGGCCAAUUUUCUAUUAAAAAAUUAUUAAAAAUUAAAAAAAAAUCAUUUAAUAUUUUUUUAAAUAUUACAAAAAUAAAUAAAUAAAUAAAUCAACACUCGUCCGCUUCCCCCCAUCUCUCUCUUCUCCCUAUCUCCAUCUUUCUUUCCCCUUCCUACAACUACAACCCAGAAAAAAGAAGAGAAAAACAAAACACCAAUUUGUCUUCCCCCAUCCCCACCCCCUCUUCUCUCCGCACCCACUCUCCGCACCCAACCUCCCCACCUUCGCACCCACUACCUGAAACCCAAAAAAAAAAAAAAAAAAACCCAGAUCCCGUUGAGGUGGAAUUGGGAAACCUUCGGCAGGCCGAUUUUGAAGGUUAAGAACCUGGGUGCAGAGAAAAUGGGAGGAAUGAGUGUGGAGGGAAGAGGGUGGGAGGGUGGGAGGGGGGGACAGACAAACUGGGUUUCCUUUCUUCUUCUUCUUCUUCUUCUUCUUCUUCUUCUUCUUCUUCUUAAGGUUGGGUGGGUGGGAGUGGGGUGGGGGUGGGGUGGAGCAGGCGGACUGGGUGUUCCUUAUUCUGUAGGUUUGGGGUGGGGGUGGGGGUGGGGGUGGGGUGGGGCGGGGCGAACGAACUGGGUGUUUCCUUUUUUCUUUUCUUUCUUCUUCUUCUUCUUUUUCUUCUUCUUCUUCUUCCUCGCUCCUUCUUCUUCCUUUUUCUUCUUCUUUUUGGGUUGCAGGAAGAUGGGGAGAGAUAGGGGGAGGAACGAACUGACCUGAGGUUUUUUUUCCUUUAUUAUUUUAAUAUUUUAAAAAAUAUUAAAUAACUUUUUAAUAAUAAUUUAUUAAUUUAUUAAUAAAAAUGGGUCUGAAUCAAACCACGUCAACAUUUAACUGAAAAAUUCAUGGUCAAUUAACGGAAGGAAUAACAUUGACACAAAUUCGUAAGAUGAGGUAUGAUAUUGUCAACUUUGAAAGAUGAGGUAUGAAAGUGUCGAGACACCAAUAAUUGAGGUAGUUUUUUGUCAUUUACUCUAGAUUAAAUUUAUUUUGGGUACAAAAGUGAGGCAGAUGAAGAAUUGGAUGCAGAAGAUGAGGAAAACUACGAAGAUUUGGUGUUGUAACCAUGACCUGAAGACUCUGCCUGACCUCUUUCCGAAUCAGUAUUGUAAGUCGAUGAGAUUGAAAAUGGUGUCAGAAGAGAUCAGCUGCUUCAAUGACUUUUCCUUCCCCAUAAAGCUCCCAAACCCACUCCACCAUAUUGAUUUUACUCUUUUCCGACUUGGGAUCAAUGGGUUUUCGCCCAUAAGCUAUCUCCAAAGCAACAACUCCAAAGUUGUAGAAAUAUGUUUCCUUGAUAGCCUUUCCUGUGGUAAGACAUUCAGGAGCCAUGUAGCCCAUAAUUCCGGCCAAUAUUGUUGUUUGUGAUUGUUUUCCAUGGUCCACAAGCCGAGCUAACCUGAAAUCCCCAAGUUUGGCGUUGAAAUUUUAGUCUAACAUGAUGUUGCUAGAUUUGAUAUCCCUAUGUAGCACGCAUUGCUCCCAUUCUUCGUGUAGAUAGAACUACCCGGAUGCCAAGCCUUGAGCGAUUCUGUACCUUGCCUCCCAAGGUAACAAGGUUUUCGGUUUGAACAAAUGGGAAUCUAGACUUCCAGUGGACAUGAACUCGUAAACAAGUAUGAGCUCUUUUUUUUUUUGUGGCACCAACCAAUGAGUUGUACUAGAUUCCGAUGCCUAAGUCGACUGAUGAUCCUUACUUCGCCACGUACUCCUUCAUCCCCUAUUUAGACUGACUUGAUACCCUAUUUGUAAAACUUAAGAACUCUCAAGGUUUCACUUUAAUUGCAUGCCCUUUCAAAGAGAGGCUGCAUGUAUUUAUAUUCACGUUUAGAUUACAUCAGGGAUUGAAAUCCCUAUUUACAAGGCUGUUUCAAAUUCAAAAUUACAACAUAAGCUACAAAAUGUAUUACGGAAAACAACUAACAUUCAAAAAGAAGUUUGAACUAAUCUAACUCUUCUUGGAUAAGAGUUUAGGUUGAUCACAACCUCCUGAAUUUUAGGAAACCACCACCAGACUCGGACUUGGUCUAACAGCCCCCCGCAAGCUGACAGGAGGAGAAACAACUGAAAGCUUGGAAACAAGAUGCUUGAACCGUGAAGAGGACAAUCCUUUUGUAAAAAGAUCAGUAAUAUGGUCUUGAGAACAUAUGAAAUUCACAAAUAACUCUUGACGAACCACUUUCUCAUGAACAUAAUGAUAAUCCACCUCCAAGUGCUUUGUACGGGAGUGAAAAACUGGAUUUGAAGCGAGGGCAAUGGAGGAAACAUUGUCAUACCAGAUUGUUGGUCGAUCAAGAUGCAAGUGUAGGUCACGAAAUAAAGAUCGGAACCAUGAUAAUUCUGCAGCAGUACAAGCAAACUGCCUAUAUUCAGCUUCUGAACUCGACCUACUGAUAGUUUUUUGCUUUUUAGAACUCCAAGACACGAGAUUAAACCCUAAGUAAAUGCAAAAACCACCUGUGGAAUGUCGUGUAUUAGGAUUCCCAGCAUAAUCAGCAUCAAAAUACGCUGUAAGGUGUGCAGUACCAGGUUUAUACACGAUGUGUCCAACUAUAAAGGCUUGGGAGCAGGCGUGGUCUUUGUCACCCCAGACGGCUCAAUGCUCGAGCAGGCGAUCACUCUAGGCUUCAAAGCAUCCAACAAUGAAGUAGAGUACGAGGCCCUACUAGCAGGCCUUCGAAUGGCAAAAGACUUUGUGGUGAAAAAGCUCGCAAUUCAUCUUGAUUCUCAACUAGAGCAGUUGAAGUGAAAUUCCAUGAAAUGAUCUUAUGAACAACAAUAUCUUGACCGAUAGCAGCAGAGAACCCAACAAUUACCCAAUAUGACAAGUAUUGUUUCAAAUCAAUUAUGUAAGAAAGAUAUUUGAUCAUCUCCACUUCAGUACCAUUUGUACCAUUUUGAAAACUCGUGAAUGCAACACUCCUUCAGACGCUUUCACAAGCCCUACAAAUUCACUAACUUGCUCUAAAUAAGGGGAAAUUUUAAAUUUUAUUUUUUAAGUUAUUAACUUUUUAACACACAUAUCCCACCAUUUGUAUAGUGACACAUGGUGUAUCAUUAUGUGGGCUGGUAUGUUGUAAUUUGAAGAAUUUUGUAUAUUAAUGAAUUGUAUCUUACACAAGAGACUUGGUUACACUAUAUAGGCAAGGUAGAAGACAUAACCUUCUGACCUCCCAUAACACACGCCUAAAACUGCUUUACAGCUAAGAGAGAUUGCUUGAAUUAAGGACACAAGUAAGAUAUCCCUUGAAUUAAGGACACAAGACAAAUGAUGUACACAGCCAACCUACUUACACUUCUUAGCUGAUAAAAACAGCCAACCUAAUUAAACUUACUUACACUCAUCUUCCAAUACUCCCCCUCAAGUUGGAUCAAAGGGGUUGAUUGAUCCAAGCUUGACCAAAAUAUGCUGAAAACCAGUAGAAGCAAGACUUUUGGUGAAAAUAUCGGCUAACUGAUCAUGGCUUUACGUGUAGUGAGUAUCAAUGAUAUUGGCUUGAACCUGGGUGCAAACAUAGUGACAAUCAACUUCGAUAUGCUUUAUGCGUUCGUGAAACAUAGGGUUGGAUGCAUGUGCAUUACGACUUGAUUGUCACAAAACAUAGACAUGUGUUGAGUAUGAAAGAAACCCAAAUCACCAAGAAGACCUUUAAGCCAAAUUAGUUCACAGGCAAGUGGAUGCCAUGGCACGAUACUCAGCCUCUGCGCUUGAUCGGGCCACAAAACUUUGUUUCUUACUUUUCCAAGUGAUAAGAUUUCCACCAACAAACGUGCAAAAACCUGUAGUUGAUUUAUGAUCAAUAGAGUUGCCUGCCCAAUUCGCAUCCGUGUAGCCUACGAUUGUUGUAUGGUUGUUGUUCUUCAUCAACAUGCCCCUACCAACUGAACCUUUGAGAUAACGAAGAAUGCGAUGUAUAAUCUUUAAGUGAGUUAUAGUUGAGGAAUGCAUGAAUUGACUAACAAGGCUCACAUCAUAUGAGAUGUCAAGUCUUGUAAUGGUAAGAUAAAUGAGCUUGCCAACCAUUCGUUGAUAGUAGCUCAAAUUUGUGAGUGGCUCUCCUUGAAUGUCUAGUUUAAGAUUGGUGUCUAGUAGGGCACGAGCUAGUUUGUAUGCUGACAUUUCAACUUCUUGUAGGAGAUCAAGAAUAUACUUUCGUUGGUUUAAGAAUAAACCUUUGCUAGAACGAGCCAUUUCAAUCCCCAAAAAAUACUUGAGAAUACGAAGAUCUUUGAAAGCAAAUUUGUUGUGAAGAUACUGCUUGAGGGAGUGAAUCUCAAAUAUGUUGUCACUGGUCACAAUAAGAUCAUCGACGUAGAUGAGUACAACAAGUUUUCCAGUGGAAUCAAUUCGAAUGAAGAGAGAUGAAUUAGCAUUGCUCCAUCGAAAACUAACAUUUUCCAGCAUCAAACUGAGUUUGGCAUACCAUGCUCGAGAAGAUUUCUUAAGACCAUAGAUGGACUUAUGUAAUUUGCACACCAUAUCUUUGUCACCUGCUUGUGAGUGGCCUGGUGGAAGUUUCAUAUAAACUUCUUCUUGGAGAUCACGAUACAGGAAGGCAUUCUUGACGUCCAUUUGAAAAAGAGGCCAUGCACAAUUGAUGGCAAUUGAUAAGAGAACUCGGAUAGUGUUCAUUUUUGCUACAGGGGCAAAAGUCUCCUUAUAAUUAACCCCAUAAGUUUGUGUGAAUCCACGAGCAACCAGGUGAGCUUUAUGCCUCUCAAUGGUUCUAUGAGACGGGAACUUAAUUUUGUAUAUCCAUCGACUCCCCACAACCUUCUUUCCCUUAGGAAGUUUGACCACAGUCCAUGUGUGAUUUUUAUGGAGAGCCUGAAGUUCUUCUUCCAUUGCUCUUUUCCAUUCAUCAUGAAUGUUUGCCUCAUCAAAGGUCUGGGGCUUAUGUGCAUUUGUGAUUGCCGUUAAAAAGACAUCAUGGUUAGAUGAAAACUUCUUAUAAUCAAGAACACUUGUCAACAUGUAUUUGGCAUUAUAGGUCACAAAAUCAUGCAAUCUAGGUGGAGGGUCUUUGUCGUGAAGGAUUACGAUGAGCUUGAUUGAUAGGUUGUGGAGUUGGUGCCAUUAUUGAGGGGAUGGUGUCAUUUGGACUGGACGACUGUUCAAGUGCCAAAGAUAUUUUCUGCUCAUCAAAUUCCUCCCAAACAAUGGGAGUUGGCUUGGAAGAGGCUCUAAGACAUCAUGCUCAAUAAUGCCCAAGUGAGGCAUGGGAAAAAGAUCCAUCAAGUGCUCCCUUUGACUAGAAUACUUAGUUGGACAAGCAAAGUAGGGCAUGUUUUCCUCAAACUUUACAUUGCUUGAGAUCAUCAUUUUUGUUGUUGUUGGAUUGUAACAUCUAUAACCCUUUUAAGUGGAUGGAUAACCCAAAAACACAUACUUUGUAGCCUUUGGAUCCAACUUAUCUUGAUGGGGUGUUUGAACAUGAACAAAACAUGUGCAUCCAAAUACUCUCAAGUGUGGUAGAUUUAGAGAUUUUCCUUUCAAAACUUCAUGAGGUGAUUUGAAAUUCAAAACUCUACUUGGUAACCUAUUAAUGAGAUAGGUUGCAGUAAACACUCAUUGGGACCAAAACUUCUUUGGCACAUUCAAGUGAAACAUUAGAGCCCUAGUUUUCUCAAGAAGGUCCCUAUUUUUUCUUUUGGCAAUCCCAUUUUGUUGGGGUGUUCCAACACAACUUGUUUGAUGUAGUAUACCUUGUGUGCUCAUAUAGUGUGACAUCUUAUUAGACAUAUAUUCAAUGUCAUUAUCUGAUCUUAAGAUAUGAAUUUUUGACGAAAAUUGAGUAGUGACAAGUUUGUGAAAAUCUUGGAAAACAUCCAUAACUUCACUCUUAAAUUUCAAAAGGUAUAACCAAGUGAUCCUUGUGAAAUCAUCCACAAAGGUUACAAAAUAUUUGUAUCCAUCAAAGGACUCUAAAACUAGCCCCUAAAUAUUAGAAUGCACGAUUUUAAAAGGAUUACUAGCUCUAGACAUUGAAGAAGAAAAUGGUAACCUAGCAAACUUAGACAAGUGACAAACAUCACAUUGGUUUACAUUUUUGCAUAGGUUUGGAAACAAUGAGGUCAAGACCUUCUCAGAGGGGUGUGCUAAUCGUUGGUGCCACAAAAUUUGUUCUUGAGCUUGGUUUGUACUAACUUGAAAAGCUUUGGGUACUUGGAUUUCCCUGGACACAUAAUAGAGACCAUUUAAAUAAAAACCUUCACCAAUCUUCUUCUUGGUGACUAAAUCCUGAGACAAGACAUUGCAUGGAGAAAAAAUGGCAAGACAUUUGAGUGAGUUUAUGAGUUAGCCAACAGAUAAAAGCUGGAAAGGAAAUGACGGAACAUAAAGAACAUUUGACUCAACAUUGUUGGAUAUCAAGUUUAUUUUCCCUUUUCCUAGAACUGAAGCCCCUUUGCCAUUGGUAACUGACACAUGAGAAGGUGCGGAGAUUGUUUCAAAAUUAUGUCGGUUGUAACCUUAUUUGUCAUGUGAUCAGAAGCACCUGAAUCUAUAAUCCAAUAAUCAUGUGCACUACUAACUGAGAGAGCAGUUGAAAAAGAUUUCAGAAUACUUGGGAUAUCUUUGGAAGCAAUGCUCUUAUUUUCAGCUAGAAACCCUGCAAAAUGCCCAAGUAGAGCUGUCUGAUUUGAGGAACCUUCUUCACAUUCUCUGACCCCUUGUUUCUUGUGAAGGAAAACUGUAAACUCAUUGAUUAGAGUUACAAGAUUAGUAGUGAAUUUGGACAUCUCAUCAGAGGGGGCUGAAGCUACGAGAUCAGAAGCUGCGAGAUUAGCUUUGUGAGGCAAGCCAUACGUAGCCUUCAAGGGAGCCUUGUGAUCUCUCAAGAAUUUAGGCUUUAAUUCUGGAUGAAGAAUCUAGCACCUAUCCCUUGAGUGAUGACCAUUAUUACAAUAGUUGCACUUCAAAUCCCCUUCCUUUCCUUUGUAACUUCUUUCCUCAAUAGGCUUAUAAUUUGAAGCAUAAGCCCUAUUUUCAGGUAGGUUAGUUUUUACCUCCAUGUUCAUCAUCUUUCUACGAACUUCCUCCAUUUGAAUAGUAGCACAGAUGCUUGAAAAAGAAGGAAGGUUAACGUUCAUGAGAAUGUGGCUUCGAAGAUCCUUAAAGUAUGAACUUAAGCUUGCCAAUAGUUGGAAUAUUUUGUCUUCCUCAGCAGCACUUUAGUGUCGGUGGUGUGAGGGUGAUAAACAUUGAGUUCAUUCCACAUCGUUGUCAAUAUUCCAAGGUGUUGUACAAAUGAUUUCCCUUUCUGUUGCAACCCAGCAAUGUCUUUCUUAAGUUGAAAAACUCGAGCAACAUUAUUCUGGUUUCCAUACAUCUCUUUAAGAUUUUUCCAAAGAUGCAUGGAAGAUUUGGCAUAGCUGAAGAUCUCAGCAAUCUUUCGUUCCAUAGAGUUAAGAAACCAUGACAUAACAAGCUGAUCUUUGCAAAGCCAUGUGUCAUACUUUGGUGACUCGAUUUUAGGAAUAGGAAGGGCUCUAUUGACAUAGCCGAGUUUCGAUCGUCCUCCCAAAGCAAGUGUCACAGCUCUUUCCCAUGGAAGAUAAUUAAAUUCAUUUAAUAAUACUGAACUUAGACGUUGGUUUGGGUUUACAUCAACGUCGGACAAGAUGGAAGACGGAGAAGCAUGAGAGGUUUCUGCCUCUAGAUUAACUGAGCUCUUUCAGCCAUUCUAGAAGGUUGAGAAGGAGUUUAACACACAAGGAUAUACAGAGACAGGUCUGUUAGGGUUACUGCUCUGAUACCAUGUUGUAAUUUGAAGGUUUUUGUAUAUUAAUGAAUUGUAUCUUACACAAGAGACUUGGUUACACUAUAUAGGCAAGGUAGAAGACAUAACCUUCUGACCUCCCAUAACACACGCCUAAAAUUGCUUUACAGUUAAGAGAGAUCCCUUGAAUUAAGGACACAAGUUAGAUAUCCCUUGAAUUAAGGACACAAGACAGAUGAUUUACACAGCCAACCUACUUACACUUCUUAGCUGAUGAAAACAACUAACCUACUUAAACCUACUUACACUCAUCUUCCAAUACAGUCACAUUGAAAAAUCAAUUUUUUUAUUGUGACGGGAACACUAUGGUACAUCACAUGUUUUUAUAUAAGUUGUAGGAAAUUUUAUUUUUUAAGUUAUUAACUUUUUAACAAACAUAUCCCACAAUUUGUAUAGUAACACGUGGUGUAUCACUCUGUAUGUCUGUCACAAAAAAAUAAAUUGAAUCUAUGAUGGAUUUUUCGUCUUUCAAAAUCUUCGUCGGGAAAGGAUUGACGAUGGUGCUUGAAAUUGUUGGGAAUUGUUCCUGAUGUGAGAGUUGGGACUUUUCAAUUGUUUUUUUUUUCUUGUCGAUGGGAAUUUUCAAUUGUUAGAUGUACAUAUUUAUUUUUAUUUUUUUGAUCUUUUGUUUUCUAAAGAGGUGAAAAGAAACUAUAUGAAUGAUACGAGAAAUGAGUUAUAACUAGUUUUAUUUUAUAUUAUUUUUUGCAACAGGUAGGAUAAGUUACAUUAAUUUACAGAGGGAGGGACUCAAAAACGGGACUUCGAGUAUAAGUAACAUUUUUAUUGUUCAGCUGGGUUUGACAAUAGGCAAGGUCAUGGGUUGAAGCUUGUAAUCGCUGCAAUUAGUUUAUUAAUUGUCGCUUUUGUCUCUACUGAUUGCUUGUACAACACUUUUUUUUUUUUUUUUUUUUUAAAGAAUGCAAAAUGUUUGUUUAUCUCAAUGGAGAUUGGUCAUUGUCGGCCUAUAUCAAUAAACUGCAAAAGAGAAGGAUAAAAAUCAGAUUAGAUUCGCAACAAAGAUGCAAUUGCAAAGGUAGAUAAGAAUCUUGGUAGUCCAUCAAACUAAAGGCAGGCAGUUUGGUAUUUUUUUUUAUUUAUUUUUUGUACCGUGAUAGGUUUUUAGCAAACAACCUUUAGGCCAAAAUCAUGAAGAAAAAUGUACAACCACUGCAGAACCAAAUGCAAUCUCGUAUGAGAUAUGAUUUUGGAUAUAAUAACCAAGUUGCCAUUACUUUUUAAGUUUCAGUGGAUGAAUUGCAUUCAUUAUUGAUUUUGAAUACAAUCCUAGGAAGUUUUGUUGAGAGGAACCUUGGAGAGAGCUCGUUUAGGUUAAAAUUAUUUGUGACUAUUGGAGAUUAAAAGUAAUGGCUGGAUUAAUAACUUGGCUAUUACACAGAACACCUAAUCUUAUAGGAUUUUGCAUUUGUUGAAAGAAGUAAGAUAAAGCAAAAGGAAACUAACAUGAAAUGGGUUUUCCUGCAAAAGAAAACUAACAUGAAGAGGACUUUCCUGUCCUCCUCCUUUUUUCUUUAUUCCUGCAUUUUGAAUAUCUGAAAAAUCAAUCAUAAUUGUGUGGAUAUUAAAGGAAAGAGAGAAUACUGAAUAAACCAAAAAUGUAAACGGCGCGCAUAAAAAAUGGCUCCGAUGUUGAUUUCGGUGAAGAUCAUGAGGGAAUCCAUAGGAUCGAGGCCAGUUGUCCUGAGGUACGUUUGUACUACUUUAUCCCUUUCUAUCUCUCUUCUGUGAAUUUCUUGAAAACGGCGUACGUAAAAUAUGGUUUCAAUUUUCUGCAGGAGGAGACAAAAACGUAGGAAAAUAAUCAGACAAACUUACUCAGAAGAAAAAUGAUGAAUCAAAACGUCAAUAGAGAUGCAGAAGGGAUAAACAGAAGGAAGAGGAGGAGGGGUAGAAGCUUUGCGGAAGGGAUAACCAUAGUAUCGAACUUAGAGACAUUUCGCAAAUUACUUGUCAACUAAAAAGUAGAGCGAUCAUCUUUUCUUGUAAACCAAGAAACGAGUGUUUUUACAACACAGUCAUUGUUUUCAUCGAACAACAACAACAACAACAACAACAAAGCCUUUUCCCACUAAGUGGGGUCGGCUAUAUGAAUCCUAGAACGCCAUUGCGCUCGGUUUUGUGUCAUGUCCUCCGUUAGAUCCAAGUACUCUAAGUCUUUUCUUAGGGUCUCUUCCAAAGUUUUCCUAAGUCUUCCUCUACCCCUUUGGCCCUGAACCUCUGUCCCGUAGUCACAUCUUCAAACCGGAGCGUCAAUAUGCCUUCUUUGCACAUGUCCAAACCACCGGAACCGAUUUUCUCUCAUCUUUCCUUCAAUUUCGGCUACUCCUACUUUACCUCGGAUAUCCUCAUUCCCAAUCUUAUCCUUUCUCGUGUGCCCACACAUCCCAUGAAGCAUCCUCAUCUCUGCUACACCCAUUUUGUGUACGUGUUGAUACUUCACCACCCAACAUUCUAUGCCAUACAACAUCGCUAGCCUUAUUGCCGUCCUAUAAAAUUUUCCCUUGAGCUUCAGUGGCCUACGACGGUCACACAACACGCCGGAUGCACUCUUACACUCCAUCCAUCCAGCUUGUAUUCUAUGGUUGAGAUCUCCAUCUAAUUCUCCAUUCUCUUGCAAGAUAGAUCCUAGGUAGCGAAAACGGUCGCUUUUUGUGAUCUUCGCUAGAUUGCUUCGGUCAUUAGUGUGGAUAAGUAUAUAAAUGGAUAGAGAUAGGAAAGCAAACACAAGAUGUACGUGGUUCACCCAGAUUGGCUACGUCCACGGAAUAGAGGAGUUCUCAUUAAUUGUGAAGGGUUUACACAAGUACAUAGGUUCAAGCUCUCCUUUAGUGAGUACAAGUGAAUGAUUUAGUACAAAUGACAUUAGGAAAUAUUGUGGGAGAAUGAUCUCAUAAUCACGAAACUUCUAAGUACCGAAGUGUGGUAUCGUCUUGACUUGCCUUAUCUGUCUCAUAGGUAGAUGUGACAUCUUCUCUGGAAGUACUCUUCCUCCAUCCAAGGGUGGUAUCUUUAACUGGUGAAGAUGCACAAGGUAAUAUAUCAAUUUCACUUGAAGCUUACUUGUAGUAUCAGGCUUGGUCAAGCGCGAUACAAACCAUGUAGUAGGAGUCCCCCAAGUCGCCAAGCUAGGGGAUUUGCUGAAAGAGGUGAAGGUAAGCAAUCAGAGCUCCGGCUGAUUGUUCACAUUCUCCCUAUCUUGCAGGCAGCAUGAAGGAUAAAGAGAAGAAAAAUGAGAAGAGAUGAUAUGGGAUACUUUUGCUUUUGAAGAAGUAACUUUCCACAGGCUUAUUCUUGAACUGGGCUGGAGGGUUUUCUGGUUUCCUCCAGAGUAUAAGGCCGACUGAAGAAUUUGAGGGUCAAAACAAGUCCAUCAAAUCUAGAGUACGUUCGACCCUGCUGAUAUGGGAUACUUUUGCUUUUGACAGAGUAGUGGAUGUAUCGGCACGUGUGCUGUUGCGCUUGUCUCCACCUGCUUCCUUGUAUCCUUCUCACUUGCCCUAUCUGUUCCUCAAGCAGAUGCGGUAUCUUCCCUGGAAGCAUAAGAUGUUGAAGAUGAGUACUCGAGAGCAAUGCCAGGUAAGUAAUCAGGUAAGGGGUUCCAUGCAGUCAGUUCCUGGCUGGAAGCUUGAUUCCAAGUGCUGACUGAUUGCUCUCUUUCUCCUUGUCUUACGGGUAAGAACAAAUGCAAAGGAAAAGACAGGGAAAAAGCAUGAUAUGGGAUACUCUUGCUUUUAACCCUGAUGAUAUGAGAUAUUCUUGCUCUAGUAUAGCUUGUUUGCAGAGGUAUUAUCGGGGGGAAAGAAAGCUGAAUAUUUCAAAAGGCUUCAUUGGGAGUGCCCUCUCAGAUAUGAGGAAGGGUUGAGCAUUUUGGUAGGUCUGCCUGUCCGUUGGGGAUGGAGGUCGACAUAUAUAAGAGUCUCCCUAACAACAAGUAGUAAUGUUAUUCCUUUACCCUGCUUGGUCAUAGCACGGUAGUGGGAGCUGCCAGCUUCACAUGUUUUAACUCUGUCAGAGCACUUUGAAAAAGUGGUCUGUGGUAUCUGGAAAGCUGAUGUUGCGUGUGAAGAUUACAGACAAGCUUUAUCCAAGGAGAUCCGGCUCUUGAAGUUGGGAAAGUGGUGCCUCUUCGGUUUUCGAACAAGCAAUCUUGUCGGGGAUCUGGCUCUCGAGAUUCGGAGAACGAUGCCUCUUCGAUUUUUGAGAAAGCAAUCCUGCUGGGGGUCUGGCUUUCGAGAUUCGGAGAGCGGUGUCUCUUCGAUUUUUGAGAAAGUAAUCAUGUUGGGAGUCUGGCUCUCGAGAUUCGGAGGGCGGUGCCUCUUCGAUUUUGGAGCAAGCAAUCUUGUUGGGAGUGUUUUCUCGAAUGUGAGUAAAGGUUGGGCAUGUUUGCUAGUCUACCUUGCCACGAAGCACAGAGGUUGACACACAGGGACUUUCCAAUUAUCCAGCAGUGGUACUGUUCCUUUACCCUCUCUUCGAUUUUUGAGAAAGUAAUCAUGUUGGAAGUCUGGCUCUCGAGAUUCGGAGGGCGGUGCCUCUUCAAUUUUGGAGCAAGCAAUCUUGUUGUGAGUGUUUUCUCUAAUGUGAGUAAAGGUUGGGCAUGUUUGCUAGUCUACCUUGCCACGAAGCACAGAGGUUGACACACAGGGACUUUCCAAUUAUCCAGCAGUGGUACUGUUCCUUUACCCUUGUGGGUAAUAAUAUGGUAGCUAGACCUUCAAAAUUUAUGUGUCUAAACUUUGUUAGUGCUGUUUCUUUGCUAUUCUUUUACCCUUCUUGGUCAGAGCGAUGUAGUGGGAGUUGCAAGCUUCACGUGUCUCAACUUUGUCAGAGAACUUUGGCAAAGUUAUCUGUGGUACCCAUGAGCUACUGUUGCGUGUGGGAAGUGGGGUGAUUGAACAGUAAGAUUCAUGUGCUUUCUACUUCACCAGAAAUCUUCGACAGAAUGCCCAUAAUUUCCGCAAAGCUGAGUGUGCGUGUGACAGGUGCUGACAAGGCUGGAAAAGUAGGUGCUUCUUCGAUUUCUGAUAUCGGCCCUCGUGGUCUCUGAGCAGCCCAGCUUUUGAGAAAGCAAGCGCCUCUUCGAUUUCUGAGAUCAGCCUUCGUGGUCUUUGAGCAGCCCAGCUUUUGAGAAAGCAAACGCCUCUUCGAUUUCUGAGGUCGACCCUCGUGGUCUCUGAAUAACCCAGCUUUUGAGAAAGCAAAUGCCUCUUCGAUUUCUGAGCAGGCGCCUCUUCGAUUUCUGAAGCUCCGUCGAGUGCAGAUUUUUAUAGGGGCUGUCAUUAAGUUCCAAAGCACACUUGAAUCUCCACCAGUAGAAGCUCCAUUCUUGCACUUCUAAGAUCUUGAUUUGUCCGACCUCUUCUUUCUUCAACACCAUUGAAAAUGUCUGGCCCCUCCGACCGUCGUUUUGACUUGAACCUUGUUGAAGAGGCAGCCCUGCCUUCUCCAGACAACAUAUGGCGCCCAUUCUUCAUCUCCCCUAGUGGUCUUCUUACCGUUGGGGAUUCCGUGAUGAAGAAUGAUAUGACCGCUGCGGUGGUGGCCAGGAACCUUCUCACUCCCAAAGAUAACAGACUACUUUCCAAACGGUCUGAUGAGUUGGCUGUUAAGGAUUCUCUGGCUCUCAGUGUUCAGUGUGCAGGUUCUGUGUCUAAUAUGGCCCAACGCCUAUUUGCUCGAACCCGCCAAGUUGAAUCAUUGGCGGCUGAAGUGAUGAGUCUCAAACAGGAGAUUAGAGGGCUCAAGCAUGAGAAUAAACAGUUGCACCGGCUCGCACAUGACUAUGCUACAAACAUAAAGAGGAAGCUUGACCAGAUGAAGGAAUCUGAUGGUCAGGUUUUACUUGAUCAUCAGAGAUUUGUGGGUUUGUUCCAAAGGCAUUUAUUGCCUUCGUCUUCUGGGGCUGUACCGUGUAAUGAAGCUCCAAAUGAUCAACCUCUGAUGCCUCCUCCUUCUAGGGUUCUGUCCAGUACUGAGGCUCCGAAUGAUCCCCCUCCGGUGCCUUCUUUUUCUGGGGCUCUACCGACUGCUGAGACUUCUCCUAAGCAACCUUUGUGAAGGCUCCCUCUUGUUUGUUUAUUUUGACUCAUGUAUAUGUACAUAUUUGUAACUUAUCGGGGAUAUCAAUAAAUAAGCUUUCCUUCAUUUCAACGUAUUGUGUUAAAUACACCAAAACCUUUUUCGCUAAGUUAUUUGAAUUUUCUUUUGUUGAAGCUUGUAUGUUGAAGCUUUGUGAGUGGAGCAUGUAGGUUGAGGGAGUGUUCCCUUAAUUUCCCGAGUGAGGAAAACUUCUCGGUUGGAGACUUGGAAAAUCUAAGUCACUUAGUGGGAUCGGCUAUAUGAAUCUUAGAAUGCCAUUGUGCUCGGUCCUGUGUCAUGUCCUCCGUUAGAUCCAAGUACUCUAAGUCUUUUCUUAGAGUCUCUUCCAAAGUUUUCCUAGGUCUUCCUCUACCCCUUCGGCCCUGAACCUCUGUCCCGUAGUUACAUCUUCAAACCGGAGCGUCAGUAGGCCUUCUUUGCACAUGUCCAAACCACCGUAACCGAUUUUCUCUCAUCUUUCCUUCAAUUUCGGCUACUCCUACUUUACCCCGGAUAUCCUCAUUCCUAAUCUUAUCAUUUCUCGUGUGCCCACACAUCCAACGAAGCAUCCUCAUCUCCGCUACACCCAUUUUGUGUACGUGUUGAUGCUUCACCGCCCAACAUUCUGUGCCAUACAGCAUCGCCGACCUUAUUGUCGUCCUAUAAAAUUUUCCCUUGAGCUUCAGUAGCAUACGGCGGUCACACAACACGCCGGAUGCACUCUUCCACUUCAUCCAUCUAGCUUGUAUUCUAUGGUUGAGAUCUCCAUCUAAUUCUCCGUUCUUUUGCAAGAUAGAUCCUAGGUAACGAAAACGGUCGCUCUUUGUUAUUUCUUGAUCUCCGAUCCUCACCCCUAACUCGUUUUGGCCUCUAUUUGCACUGAACUUGCACUCCAUAUAUUCUAUCUUUGAUCGGCUUAGGCGAAGACUUUUAGAUUCCAACACUUCCCUCCAAAGGUUAAGCUUUGCAUUUACCCCUUCCUGAGUUUCAUCUAUCAACACUAUAUCGUCUGCGAAAAGCAUACACCAAGGAAUAUCAUCUUGAAUAUGUCCUGUUAACUCAUCCAUUACCAACGGAAAAAGGUAAGGACUUAAGGAUGAGCCUUGAUGUAAUCCUACAGUUAUGGGAAAGCUUUCGGUUUGUCCUUCAUGAGUUCUUACGGCAUUCUUUGCUCCUUCAUACAUAUCUUUUAUAGCUUGGAUAUAUGCUACUCGUACUCCUUUCUUCUCUAAAAUCCUCCAAAGAAGUCUCUUGGGACCCUAUCAUACGCUUUUUCCAAAUCUAUAAAGACCAUGUGUAAAUCAUUUUUCCCAUCUCUAUAUCUUUCCAUCAAUCUUCGUAAGAGAUAGAUUGCCUCCAUGGUUGAGCGCCCUGGCAUGAACCCAAAUUGGUUGUCCAAAACCCCUGUCUCUUGCCUCAAUCUAUGCUCAAUGACUCUCUCCCAGAGCUUCAUUGUAUGACUCAUUAGCUUAAUACCCCUAUAGUUCAUGCAAUUUUGUACGUCGCCCUUAUUCUUGUAGAUAGGCAUCAAAGUGCUCAUUCGCCACUCAUUUGGCAUAUUCUUCGUUUUCAAAAUCCUAUUGAAAAGGUCAGUGAGCCAUGUUAUACCUGUCUCUCCCAAAACUUUCCACACUUCGAUUGGUAUAUUGUCUAGGCCUACUGCUUUUCUCUGCUUCAUCUUCUUCAAAGCUACAACCACUUCUUCCUUCUGGAUUCGACGAUAAAAAGAGUAGUUUCUACACUCUUUUGAGUUACUCAACUCCCCUAAAGAAGCAUUCAUUUCAUGUCCUUCAUUGAAAAGAUUAUGAAAAUAACCUCUCCAUCUGUCUUUAACCGCGUUCUCUGUAGCAAGAACCUUUCCAUCCUCAUCAUUGAUGCACCUCACUUGGUUUAGGUCUCUUGUCUUCUUUUCCCUUGCUCUAUCUAGUUUAUAGAUAUCCAACUCUCCUUCUUUGAUAUCUAGUCGCUUAUACAUAUCGUCAUAAGCCGCUAACUUAGCUUCUCUCACAGCUUUCUUCGCCUCUUGCUUCGCUUUUCUAUACCUUUCACCAUUUUCAUCGGUCCUAUCCUUGUAUAAGGCUUUACAACAUUCCUUCUUAGCCUUCACCUUUGUUUGUACCUCCUCAUUCCACCACCAAGAUUCCUUUUGGUGUAGGGCAAAGCCCUUGGACUCUCCUAAUACCUCUUUUGCUACUUUUCGGAUACAACUAGCCAUGGAAUCCCACAUUUGGCUAGCUUCCCCCUCUCUAUCCCACACACACUGGGUGAUUACUUUCUCUUUGAAAAUGGCUUGUUUUUCUUCUUUUAGAUUCCACCAUCUAGUCCUUGGGCACUUCCAAGUCUUGUUCUUUUUUCUCACUAUUUUGAUAUGUACAUCCAUCACCAACAAGCGAUGUUGAUUAGCCACGCUCUCUCCUGGUAUAACUUUGCAAUCCUUACAAGUUAUACGAUCCCCUUUCCUCAUUAGAAGAAAAUCUAUUUGUGUUUUUGACGACCCACUCUUGUAGGUGAUCACAUGUUCUUCUCUCUUAUUAAAGAAUGUGUUGGCUAAGAAGAGAUCAUAUGCCAUUGUAAAAUCCAAGAUAGCUUCCCCAUCCUCGUUUCUCUCCCCAAAACCAUGGCCACCAUGAAAACCUCCAUAGUUGCCUGUCUCCCUGCCCACGUGUCCAUUUAAAUCUCCUCCUAUAAAUAACUUCUCCGUCUGAGCAAUUCCUUGCACCAAGUUUCCAAGGUCUUCCCAAAAUUUCUCCUUCGAACUCGUAUCCAACCCUACUUGAGGUGCAUACGCACUAAUCACAUUGAUAAGUUCUUGUCCUAUUACAAUCUUGAUUGCUAUGAUUCUAUCUCCUACCCUCUUGACAUCUACAACAUCUUGUGUCAAGGUCUGGUCCACGAUGAUGCCAACACAGUUUCUCGUUCUAUUUGUGCCCGAAUACCAAAGUUUAAACCCUGAGUUUUCUAGAUCCUUUGCCUUACGACCAACCCACUUAGUUUCUUGUAGGCACAUAAUAUUUAUCCUUCUCCUCACCAUAACUUCCACUACUUCCAUAGAUUUUCCCGUUAAGGUUCCUAUAUUCCACGUUCCUAAAUGCAUUUUGCUCUCUUGAACUCUACCCUUCUGUCCUAGCUUCUUCACCAUCCCCCAUCUAAUAGGAUCAAAGUACUUCUUUUGUGUGUCCCGUGUAAAGUUGAUAGGAGCAUAUGCUCCCAAACAACUUUGAGUGGAGUCGUUCGAAAAGAAGUUUCUAUGGCCUCCUUGCUCAUUUAACACUGCAUCCGGGUGCCGAUGGAGAUACAGCGACCCUUGCUCACUUAUCACUGUGCUCGGGCCACACAGCGCGCCACUUACGGGUGACGCCCUAGCUUUAACGCGAUUUCAUUCUGGAUUCAUUUUCAUAAGGAUUCGACGUAAUCAUGGAGUGCCGGCUGUCGACUACCUGACGCCCUCCCCCUCCUCCUUUAUCCGGGCUUGGGACCGGCAAUGUAAGAUAAACUUACAUAGGCGGAGUUAUUGUUUUCAUCGAACACAAGUAGAAAAUAUCCUUGGACUAUCUGAUCAAUAGUUCUGUUUCAUUCCAAAACUACACAAAUAAUGAACUUUGUUGUGUUUUAUUUUGCAUUGUUUACACUUUACAAGUAUCCUUUUUUCGAUUCACUGUCUUGUUGAAACUACAAUAGUAUCUAGAUUCAAGAGUGCAUAAUAUAUUUAUCUAUAUGUGUUCGGGUUUGUUUGAUGUGAAAACUGAAGGAAUGAAUGGACGGCAGCUGAACACUGAAGGAACGAAUGUUUGGCAGCUGAUUUUUUGUUUACGUUUUGUUGUCCGAAUGCAUAGACAUUGAGAAGACAUGGAUGUCGUCGUUUGAACUUAGUGGUCAUAUUUGAGUAUUGGGUUUUUCUUUUGACACUCUUUCUCUGUGCAUUUUGGCAUGUAAGUUUCUGAAUGCCCUGGUAGAAAGAGCCUCUCUUUCACUUACUGCUUUCCCAGUUCAAACCCUCUUGCAAUCUCUUGUUAUAAAUUUAUGAGUAUAACAUAUAAUUACGACAUGAUGGUAAGUUCAUCAUCAUCAAAGUAAUAACUAUAUAUGUCGUCGAACAUAUUUACUUAAAGAUAUUCACUAUAAAAAAAUGUAUUACACGCAAAUUUAUAUAUUCAUAUAACAGAGUGAGAUUGAAUUUACCUUGUAUACAAAAGUGAGGCUGAUGGAGACGAAUUGGAUGCAGAAGAUGAGGUGAAUUGUGAGGAGUUGGUGUUUUAACCAUGACCCGAAGACUCUAUCUAAUGUCUUUCCAAAUCAGUAUUGUAACUCGACGAGGUUGAAAAUGAUACCGGAAGAGAUAAGUAGCUGGCCACCAGCAUCUUUGAUGGGAUAAUGGGGAACGAAACUUUGAAGUUAAGUACUUGAAUUGUUUGUUGUAUCGAAGGCCUCAUCAUGUAAUCCGGAUGAGCACACCACAGCCCAACAAUCAACAAACACUCCAUCUGUUUCACAUCGAACUCUCCACACAAUUUAGGGUCAGCUGCUUCAAUGAUUUUCCCUUCUCCAUAAAGCUCCCAAACCUACUCCACCAUGUUAAUUUGAGUCCUUCCAAACUUUGGAUCAAUGGGUUUCCUCCCGCAAGCUAUCUCCAAAGCAACAACUCCGAAGCUGUAGACAUCUGUUUGUUUGCUUGCCUUUCCUGUGGUAACGCAUUCUGGAGUCAUGUAUCCCAUGGUUCCAGCUAGAACUGUUGUUUGCGAUUGUUUGCCAUGAUCCACAAGUCGAGCUAAUCCGAAAUCCCCAAGUUUGGCGUUGAAAUUUGAAUCCAGCAUAAUAUUGCUCGAUUUAAUAUUCCUGUGCAACACACAUUGUUCCCAUUCUUCGUGUAGAUAGAACCCAUUCUUCGUGUAGAUAGAACCACCCGGAUACCAAGCCUUGAGCAAUUCUGUAUCUUGCCUCCCAAUGUAACAAGGUUUUCGGUUUGAACAAAUGGGAAUCUAAGCUUCCGUUGGACAUGAACUCGUAAACAAGCAAGAGCUCUCCUUUUUCAUGACACCAACCGAUGAGUUGCACCAGAUUCCGAUGCCUGAGUCGACUGAUGAUCCUUACUUCUGCCGCGUACUCCUUCAUCCCCUGUCUAGACCGACCAAAUCCUCUAUAAACCCCACCAAAUCCUCCUUCUCCAAGCUUUUCUCCCUCAUCGAAAUUACUCAUGGAUUGAGCCAAUGUUUUGUACGAAAACUUCUUCGGGCUCAUCCCCUUCUCGAAUUCCUCAUCGAUCGAGUCCUUCACCAUAAAAUCCUCAUCAUCACUACUUCCCCCUGUUUUGCCCUUCCUCCAACAAAUGCACCGAACCAAAACCAACCCAACAACCAACCCAGCAACCAGUCCGACGCUGACCCCAUUUCCUGGCUCGAGCACAACAAUGGGGUUCGGCUCUGGCACGGGAACCACUGGCGCCGAGUUGUUAAACUCGUUUUCACUGCGCAGUUAUGUAGAGCUAAAAUUCCAUGAGUUGAUUUUAUGUAGUGCUGUUAAAGCCCCUGUUGCGGCAGAGAACCCAACAAUAACAUAACCCUGCAAGUACUCAUUCAGGUCUACAAUGUAACUAAUAUUCCUCCAUAUUGGGACACCAUUUACAAAACUGUUGAAUAAUUGGCCAAGUGGCCAAGUGGACAACAAAACAAUUCAAAAGAAAAAAAAAGAAGGUGGACAACAUCCUUCCUUGUUUUGGGGAGGAAAACAUGAACCUUGUCUAAAGUCCUUUUGUUUUUAUUUGGCAUAUGGAAAGCCACGACUGAGGUUUUGAAUGAUAAGUAAUUGUUGUUUUUGAUGAAGAGAAGUAAUGCAGCCAUAGAAGAGAAAAAAAACGCAGCAGAAAAUAGAGAGCAAAAACAGAGGUGCUGCAGCCCCAUUUUCAAGAGAAGAAAGAAAGGUGAUUUUCUUUCUUUGUUGGUACUCACUCAAUCAAAGUUGUAUUUGUGUAUUAUCUUUAAGCUUUGUAUAGGGGGGAAAUUAUUCACUAUAUUUCCCUUUCUAUUUGUUUCUUUGGUGAGUGAGAGUUAUUGGGUGUAUUGGGGUUUUGGGUUGUGAGAUUGCCAACACUUUGUAAACUCCCAUUUGGUUGAUAGUGGAUUAUUGGGUGAGCUCCUACUGCUCCGAGGACGUACUCCAGUUACACUGACUGUGGAGGAACCUCGUUAAAAUCUUGGUGUCUUUAAUAUUUUGUUCUUGCAUUUUCAUUUGAUAAAUUUCCUGUGGGUUAGCUUGAGUUGGUUCCAACGGGUUUGGUGCUAUCCUAGCACAACAAUUGGUAUCAGAGCACUAGUUGCUCUUGGGUACUGUUUAGUUGCCAAAGAUGUCAGACGGGCAAGAUGAGAAUCCUUUUGGAAGCAGCUCCGGGUUCGCAAGAACUACGGUGCAAAAUGCAAAGUUCGAAGUGGAAAAGUUUGAUGGCACAAACAAUUUCGGGAUGUGGCAAUGUGAGGUCAAAGAUGUGUUGGCUCAACAAGAUCUACUUGCCGGUUUGGGAGAGAAGCCGGAAGCUAUGUCGAAGCAGGAAUGGGAGAAAUUAAAUUUGUGGGCUUGCUCUUCAAUUCGGUUGUGCCUUGCAAAAACUCAGAAGUAUUUUGUGAUGCGGGAGACGGUAGCAAGUGUGUUGUGGCAAAAAUUGGAAGACAAGUAUAUGACAAAGAGUGCAGAGAACCGGCUACACUUGAAGAAAAAGCUCUACCACUUCCAAUACAAAGAAGGUACAAAAAUGAUUAGACACCUUGAUGCUUUUAAUAAGUUGAUUGCCGACUUGUUAAAUUUAGAUGAGGAUAUUAAGGAUGAAGAUAAGGCCUUAAUAUUGUUGAAUUCCUUGCCGGACUCUUAUGAGCAUUUUGUUACCACUAUUAUGCAUGGUAAAGAAACUGUGAAAUUUGAAGAUGUGUCAAAUGCCUUGAUGAAUUAUGAAAUAUGGCAUAGAGAUAAAAACCAUGAUAGUACCUCUGAAGCUUUAUUUGUUAGAGGUAGAUCAUCGGAGAGAAGAUCAUCUUCUAGCAGGAAAAAAUCACAGUCUCGACCUAGAGGAAACUCUAAAGGUAGAAAAACUUUGGAAAGGGAUGAAUGUGCCUUUUGUCAUAAUAAGGGCCAUUGGAAGAAAGACUAUCCUAAGUUGAAGACCAAAGGAAAAGAAAGUUCUGAAGCCAAUGUUGCUGAGGUUGAAACAGAUGUUUUUGAUUUUGCUUUAACCACUUUCUCAUCAUUUGAUUGUGCUACUAAAUGGGUGUUGGAUACGGGUUGUACUCAUCAUAUGACUCCUCACAAGAAUUGGUUUUCAAGCUUGAAAGAGUUUGAUGGUGGCGUUGUGUUCAUGGGAGAUGACAAUCCGUGCACAACAAAAGGGAUUGGUACAGUUCAUUUGAAGUUGCAUGAUGGCAUGGUUAAAGAGUUGACAGGUGUUCGGUAUGUACCGAAUUUGAAGAAAAUUUUUAUUUCUUUGGGUACUUUGGAAUCUAAGGGUUUCAGGUUUCAUUCAGAUGGACAGACAUUGAAAGAUACUUAUGGUGCACUUGUUGUGAUGAAAGCUCCUAGAUGUGGCCAUUUGUAUUUAUUGCAGGGAAGCACUGUGACAGGUGAAGCAUCUAUAGUCUCUGAAAAUAUGGGCACAUCUGAUUCAGAUACUACUAGACUGUGGCAUAUGAGAUUAGGCCAUGCUGGUGAGAAAGCUCUACAAGGGCUUGUGAAACAAUGUCUUCUAAAAGGUGCCACGACUUGUAAGCUUGAUUUCUGCGAGCAUUGUGUCUUGGGGAAGCAAACUAGAGUGAAGUUUGGUACUGCUGUACAUCAGAUGAAGGGCAUUCUUGAUUAUGUGCAUUCGGAUGUUUGGGGUCCUACAAAGACUCCCUCUUUGAGUGGUAGACAUUGGUUCGUGACCUUUGUUGAUGAUUAUUCAAGAAGGUCUUGGGUCUACACUAUGAAGCACAAGAGUGAGGUGUUAAGCAUUUUCUUGGGUUGGAAGAAAAUGGUUGAGAACCAGACUGGGAGAAAGAUUAAGAUUUUGAGAUCGGAUAAUGGUGGUGAAUACACAUCCGAUCCUUUCUUUAAAGUUUGCAAAGAGGAAGGAAUUGUGAGACAUUUCAGUGUUCGGGGAACUCCACAACAAAAUGGAGUUGCAGAAAGAUUGAAUCGAACCUUGCUUGAGAAGGUUAGAUGUAUGUUGUCUCAAUCGGGUUUAAGCAAGUCAUUUUGGGCAGAGGCAGUUAAUUAUGCAUGUCACAUCAUCAACCGGUUACCCUCAGCUGUUGUUCAGGGUAAGACACCAAUGGAGGUAUGGACUGGAAAACCUUCUUCUGAUUAUGACUAUAUCCGUAUUUUUGGUUCACCUGCUUAUUUUCAUGUGACUGAAAAUAAACUUGAUCCUAGAGCCAAAAAGGCUAUCUUUCUUGGUUUUAGUAGUGGUGUCAAAGGUUACAGGUUGUGGUGCCCAAAGAUGAAACAAAUUGUAAUCAGUAGAGAUGUGACAUUUGAUGAAGAAAGUAUGUACAAAGUCUCUGAGAAGAAUGUGAAAGAUGUCCAACAUGUGGAUCUUGAGAAAGUUGCCUCUGGUACUUCAAAUCCUAUUUUUGCUGAUGUCGAAGCCACUACAAGUGAAGAAGUUGGAGACCAUGAGAAUGUUGAAGAAGUUGAACUUGAAGAUUCUAUUCAAGUUGAAGAGCAAGUUUCACCUCAAGAGUCUAUUGCCAAGAACAGAGGAAAUAGACAAAUUACCAAGCCAGCUCGGUAUAGUGACUAUGUUUCUUUUGCUCUUCCUAUUAUCACUGAUGAGAUUCCAUCCAAUUUCGAGGAAGCCAUUGAGAGUGAGGAGAAGGAGAGGUGGUGCAAUGCCAUGGGUGAUGAGAUGAAUUCUCUCUUGAAGAACAAGACUUGGAAGUUAGCUAAAUUGCCUAAGGGCAAGAAAGCUAUCGGUUGCAAAUGGGUGUAUGCCAAGAAGGAAGAUGCUGAUGAGAAAAGCAAUGUGAGAUUUAAAGCAAGAUUAGUUGCUAAAGGGUAUGCACAAAAGGAGGGCAUUGACUACAAUGAAAUCUUUUCUCCGGUUGUGAAGCACUUCUCAAUUCGAAUUAUGUUAGCUCUUGUUGCACAAUAUGAUCUUGAGCUUGUGCAACUUGAUGUGAAGACGGCUUUCCUACAUGGUGAUUUGAAUGAAGAGAUUUAUAUGUGUCAACCGGAUGGGUAUAUAGUGAAAGGGAAGGAGAAUUUGUUUUGCAAAUUGAAGAAAUCACUUUAUGGCUUGAAGCAAUCUCCAAGGCAAUGGUAUUUGAGGUUUGAUAAAUUUAUGAGAGGCCAAAAUUAUUCUAGAAGUCAAUAUGAUCAUUGUGUGUACUUCAAGAAGUUGCAAGAUGGGUCUUUCAUUUAUUUAUUGAUAUAUGUUGAUGAUAUGUUGAUUGCCUCAAAGAAUGUUGAAGAGAUUGAGAAAUUGAAGAAACAAAUGAAGAAUGAGUUUGAGAUGAAUGAUCUUGGUGAAGCAAAGAAGAUCCUUGGCAUGGAGAUCACUAGAGAUAGAGAGAAGGGUUUGGUCAGUUUGAAUCAAAGACAAUACCUUGAGAAGUUGAUUCGGAAGUUUGGAGUUCAUGAUUCAACCAAACCGGUUAGUACCCCUUUGGCUCCUCAUUUUAAAUUGAGUUCUCUACAAUGUCCUAAAACUGAUAAAGAGAAGCUACAAAUGAAAAAUAUACCAUAUGCAAAUUUGGUUGGUAGUUUGAUGUAUGCAAUGGUAUGCUCUAGACCGGAUAUUGCUCAUGCAGUUGGCAUGGUGAGUCGAUAUAUGCAUAAUCCAGGUAAAGAGCAUUGGCAAGCAGCUAAGUGGAUAUUGAGGUAUCUCCAUGGUACUCGAGAUGUUGGUUUAUGCUUUGAGAGAGAUGACUCUGGUAUUUGGUCAUUUUGCAGUUGGUUAUGUUGAUUCAGAUUAUGCAGGUGAUCUGGAUGGAAGGAAGUCUACUACAGGCUAUGUGUUUACUAUGGCUAAAGGGCCAGUUUGUUGGAGGUCCAUUUUGCAGUCGUCUGUUGCCUUGUCUACUACAGAGGCUGAAUAUAUGGCAGUUGCUAAAGCUAUAAAGGAGGCCAUUUGGAUACAUGGGCUUAUUAGAGAUUUGGGGGUUGAUCAGAAGCAGGUGGAGGUACAUUGUGAUAGUCAGAGUACCAUUUAUUUGGCUAAGUAUCAGGUUCAUCAUGCGAGGACCAAGCACAUAGAUGUGCGUUAUCACUUUGUUCGUGAAAUUGUUGGUGAAGGGGAAAUCAUUCUCCAGAAGAUUCCAACUAAAGACAACCUCGCUGAUAUGUUGACUAAGGUUGUUGGUGUAGCCAAGUUUGUUCACUGUUUGAACUUGGCUCACAUUAUGCCUAUAUAAAGAAGGCGUUGAGCAGUAGGAGUUUUGGAGCAUUUGGCUCGGCAUGAGUUGUUCUCUUGCUAGUGUUUGGGAGUGAUGUUGUGUGUUAAUUGUGUUGGUUGGCUUAUCAUGGCGUUUUUCGGAACUUGGCCAAGGUGGAGAUUGUUGAAUAAUUGGCCAAGUGGCCAAGUGGACAACAAAACAAUUCAAAAGAAAAAAAAAAGAAGGUGGACAACAUCCUUCCUUGUUUUGGGGAGGAAAACAUGGACCUUGUCUAAAGUCCUUUUGUUUUUUAUUUGGCAUAUGGAAAGCCACGGCUGAGGUUUUGAAUGAUAAGUAAUUGUUGUUUUUGAUGAAGAGAAGUAAUGCAGCCAUAGAAGAGAAAAAAGCGCACCAGAAAAUAGAGAGCAAAAAUAGAGGUGCUGCAGCCCCAUUUUCAAGAGAAGAAAGAAAGGUGAUUUUCUUUCUUUGUUGGUACUCACUUAAUCAAAGUUGUAUAUGUGUAUUAGCUUUGAGCUUUGUAUAGGGAGGAAAUUAUUCACUAUAUUUCCCUCUCUAUUUGUUUCUUUGGUGAGUGAGAGUUAUUGGGUGUAUUGGGGUUUUGGGUUGUGAGAUUGCCAACACUUUGUAAACUCUCAUUUGGUUGAUAGUGGAUUAUUGGGUGAGCUCCUACUGCUCCGAGGACGUACUCCAGUUACACUGACUGUGGAGGAACCUCGUUAAAAUCUUUGUGUCUUUAAUAUUUUAUUCUUGCAUUUUCAUUUGAUAAAUUUCCUGUGGGUUAGCUUGAGUUGGUUCCAACGGGUUUGGUGCUAUCCUAGCACAACAAAAACUAGUGUAAACAACACUAAGAAUUUUUGAUCCAGAAUUGAAGCGAAUCUAAGCAGUAUUGACCCUUCCGGUUGUAAUGGAUCCAUUCCAAGGCUUUGUAACCUUAAACUUGAGAGAGUUGAUGUCAAUACCAACAUGUUCGCCGACAGGAUCUUCGACGGAAGUGACGAGAUUCGUGAAGAUAUCAAACUCAACUGCCACAAAGGGGUACAGAUUCGUCGACUCAUUAUUUGGCGGGUUUAUGACGGGGAGGCCUAGAGCGCCGCCUUGGCUUAUUGUGGUGUUGAGUAAGGAUCCGUUUGGCGCCAAAAAGAAGGCGAGUCCGUCGCCGUAGGGCGUUUUGCCUACAGAGUCGAUGACGAAUGUGAAGUUUGUGGUGAAAUCGGCGAGUUUUCCGGUGGCGUUCUCGCGGAGGAGGAAGGUUUGAGAGUAGGUGGCUCGGCCGACGCUUUGGUUCUGUGAGAUGUCGGCAUCGCUUUUAGUCAGGCGGAGGAACGUGCCGUCGACGAAAGCAUCUCCCUCGAUAAAUAAAUUGGUGAGGCCGUUUGGGAAGGAGGAGAAGUUGAAGGAUAAUGGAGUUGCACAAGGGAGUAGCUCAAACAAGAGAAGUUUGAGAAGAAAAAGGACAACCACCAUUUUUAAUAGUAUGUUUGUAAUGCUUUUACUGAUUAAACGGUGAUCAUCUGAAAAUAUAGCAAAGAUUGUAGAGGAAUUAAUGAAUAUUUCAGGGGAAAUUUUAUUUAAACCCACAUAACUUUUCUCUCUUUUCUUUGUUGAAUUCUUGCUGAUCUAUGGUUUUUUUGUAAAAAAAUUCUGUGUUUAGAACUGUAAAUUCGGAUUUGGAAAAUGGGGUUUCUGUGCAAAUUUCGAUAUUUGGAUUUGGUUGGUUGUUGGUUAAACUUAGGGGGAAUACCUUCAAUUCUAAGGUGAUUAGACUAACUGGGUCUCUCUUUUCUUAUUGAGUUCUUGAUGAUUUAUGAGUUUUCUGUCAAAUUUAAUUUUUGUUUAGAACUGUAAGUUUGGAUUUGGAAAUGGGUUUUGUGCAAGUUUGAAUUUUUAGAUUUGGUUGUGUUUGCUCACUGUAAAUUUGAUUAAGUUGGUUGUGUUCGCUUAAAUUCAAGAAAACUAUUUAUAACGUACUCUGAAGACUGUCAAUUUAUAAGGAUAAAUUAUUGUGAGCUCAGUGUAGAUUUGGUUAAGCGGCAUGUGUUGGCUAAAAUCGGAGGAAAUUGCUCCAGUUCUAAGGUGAUUGUACAUUAAUGGGUUCUCUCUUUAUUAAUUCUUGAUAAUUUAUGAGUUUUCUGUCUAUUGCAGAGAGAGAUGAGGGAGAGCAUGGGGUAGGGGAGAGGAUUCUCCGGGAGGGAGGUAUGGAUUUAGGGAGAAAAAGUAAGGGAGGAGUAUGGGGGUAGGCUGUGCCAUUUGGGGGUAGGUUUAAGGGGAACGUUUUUGCCAUUCUUAAUCGAGGUCAUCAUGACUAUAUACCAACUGUGUUUGAUAUAUUCAGUGCAAAUGUUGUGGUUGAAGGCACCACUAUGAACUUGGGCCUAUGUGACACAGCUGGUAACUCUUUCCACCCAAAUUCUAAUUUCAUGUUAUAUAAAUGUGUUCUCCGCCCAUUGUUAAGUGAUUUGGAGUUAGGGUUGAGUUGGGGUCUAUUUGGUUACCUGGAAAAUUUGGGAAGGAAAAUGGGGCCAUGGGGUUUCUUGAUUUGCUGUUGGAUUUGUGGGAAUUGCAAUUUCUGGUGGAAUUUUUGUGUGUAUUUUCUUAAGGGAAAAAACUUCAAUACUUUUUUUGUUUUCUUAGCCACCAAGUUGGAAAUAUUUCAUUUUCUUUUUAUUUGUGUUUGUAGUGAUGUAAUGCAGGUACACCCAUAUCUAUAUCCCAAACAACUGUUUAUAUGUAUCUAUUGUUAGAGAAGGCUUAUGCCUUUUGGGUUCAAUUUUAUCUGCUCUCUGCAUUGGAUUUGAUGUCUUCUCAGUCUGAAUUUUUUUAUUCAGCAAUGGAGGUUGUAUUAUCGCUUGAGAAAUUGGCAAAUGAAAGCUGCUCCACUUGCACAGUCUUAAGACAUUCUUAGUGGGUCUCUAUUCUUCUAGGUACACCCGUAUCUAUAUCCUAAGCGACUGUUUAUAUGUAUCUAUUGUUAGAGAAGGCUUCUGCCUUUUGGGUUCAAUUUUAUCUGCUGUCUGCAUUGGAUUUGAUUUCUUCUCAGUCUGAAUUUUUUUAUUCAGCAAUGGAGGUUGCAUUAUCGCUUGAGAAAUUGGCAAAUGAAAGCUGCUCCACUUGCAUAGUGUAAGACAUUCAUUGUUAUCGUAUGAUGUCUUCUUAACAUAAGAUGAUUAGGUUUAGUUGAUUAUAUUUUGUAACAGUAACAUCGAUUGGUUCGUGUUAUGAAUUAACAAUCUUACUAUACUAUGUUCAUCCUCGAAUUUACGACUAACAGGUUGCUGAGAAGAACAAAGAUGUGCAGUUAACAAAUUUUGUUGAAACUGAGUUUUUGGUUGAGUAGGUCAGCCUUGAUAUUUUCCUUUAUUUUUCCUCAGUUGGAAAGGUUCUACAGGGAUACUUGCAGUAUGAUUUUUGAUCUUCUGCUUUUACCUUUGUAAGUGGAAGUCAUCAAGAAAAUAUCUGAAUAUGUUGCUCAACUAAGGACAGCUCGCAAAGGCACGGUAGAAACCCAUAAUCCAAGUUCGUUGUCAUUACUUUAUCCGAUUCCGUUUUCCAUUUUUUAAAACCCAGGCGCUGCUCAAUAGAAUGUUGUUGCUACGUGAUGAUGUUUAAGCACCUUUUAAGUUAUAUUAUGUUUUCUAUUAAAAAAAAGGUUAUCUUCUGUCUUUUAGUAUCAAAAUCGUCUAUCUGUACAUAAUCAUUUCUUCAUUGCUUCAUUGUAGGUGAGAAUAUUAUGCGAGAAAGCAAGGGAAAUUCUAAUGGGAGAAAGCAAUGCUCAGGGGGAAAUUUUGGUUUCUUUAGUCUCUUAUUAUAUUUGUAUUACAUUACAUAUUUCACUGUUAUUGCAUUUUGUAUUGGAAAAAAACCAUUAUUAUUGUCCUUCAUUUUGAACUGGUAACACUGGUGUAGAUCAUUCAAAUUAUAUGGGUAGACACUUAUUAUUAUUUAUUUGCAUGCCUGUAAAAAGGUUAGUGACAAUUUGUGGCGAUAUUCAUGGGCAAUUUCAUGACCUUGCAAAGCUUUUUUGAAUUGGAGCGUUUUCUUGCUUGCAAUUUUGAAUUAUUUCAAAUUAUGAAUGACUAAGUUUUUUACUUACAUCAUUGUUGAGAGUGGGUUUUGCUUAAGCUUUUGAGUUCUUAGUUUAUAUCAAGACGUUUGAUAUGGUUUCAUUUAUUUUGUGGAAUUAGAUACUUUUAUAUUUAGAUUUCCCUUUGGAGUUCAGUAAAUUGAUUGCUCCUUUGGCUGUAAAUUUGACAUUAAAUUCUGGACUUUAAUUUCAAUGAUUACCCAGUAUUAAUUGGCUAUUGAUUAGCAUUUGUUUUCUAGAAUUUGGACUCUGAACAGCUGAAAGGUUUUGGGAAAGAAGCGCUUUUUAAUCAGGCCAAUUGGGUCCUCCUGGCAAUACAAUGUCGAAAAUUUGAAGUACGAGUCCGAUAGUUUUGGCAAGAUGCAAAUGGGUUGUGAUUGGGAAGGUAACAUCAUCCUAAUAUAUUUUUUUGAAGUAAUUACUUAUUUGAACUUUUCAUUUUUAUGUGUCAAAGAGUUUUCAAGUGUUAAUAAGGACCUUGAAAAGGUUAAUUAGUAGUGCUUUAGUGGUACAAAAUGUAAACAUCACUUUGAGUGAUUAAUAUAAACUUUGUACGUUUUCAUUUUGAAUGUUGAAGUUGAAAAUUGCUUUGCUUAGGAUACUAAAUUACUAAUGAUCAGAAAAUAACUUUGACUAAAAUUCUUUUUUGUUGCUUUCAUAUGUUGCUUCUGUGGUGGGUUUUGAAAUUUCAAUUGUGGAUGUGAAAUUCACUUCCCAAAGAUAGUUGCGAUAAUGCCUAUUUAUCUCUCAAAGCUCUUUCAGCCGAGUUGCCAUAAUCGGUAAUUGAAUCUCUCCAUGACGAGUCAGACAUCGACCUGGUACACAACUCUCACUCUUUCCUGCUUUUAAUUUUGAUUGUUUGUGAAUUGUGCUUUUUAUUUACAAUUUGUUGCUGAAUUUUAUUUUGAUAAUUUGUGAAUUUUGUUUUAUUUUUUGUUCAACAGCGUUUAGGGUUAUUGCCCACAAAUUCUCUUUAGGCCAUACAAUAAAGUUAGAAGAGCUACGGAUUUCCUUUCGACUGGUUCCCCUCUGUCGAGUGCAAACGUGCUCCUAAUAUACUUGAAUUGAUUCUAUGUCAGUUUCUUUUCUGGGAUUGUUUGUGCUCACAUUUAAGAAUGCGAUUGUAUUGCUACAGCAAUUUCAAUUAAUUUUUUCUGUGGAUAUUAUUCAUGUAUGUUGUCGAUUAUGGUUUGAAAACCCGCAGCAAAGUGCGGGCAUUCCUGCUAGUAAAUUCUAUUUUCAGUAAUUAUAUUGCAUCAUUAUUUUCAUAACAACUAAUUUCAAUUGACAUAGAAUUCUUACUCACAAUCAAUUCAUUGAAUAUCACAAAUUCAAGAUAAAUACAGAUUAAUUAUUCAUUCAUUUAUUUUUAUUCUCUUAUCACAAUUGAUUCCAUACUAAGGCUAAUUAAGCAACAUUAAUGGAACGCUCUCCAUUACAGAUGCUUUCACAGGCCCUAGAAAUUCACUAAAGGAUUGACUGACUUGCUCUAAUUUAGUCAGCAGCCUCAUUUAUUGAGUUUGGGUUUUUCUUUCGCUAAAAUGUCAUUGGUUAGCUGUCAAGAAUAAGCUAACUACGCUUGAUCGCAUUGGUCAGUUUUCCUCUCGAGCCAAUCUCAACUAUCUGCUUUGCAACUCUGACUUGGAAUCUCAUUCCCACCUCUUCUUUGAUUGUCCCCUUACUAAAGGUCUAUGGCAGCAUGUGUUGAUGAGGUGUGGGGUUCCUUCGCUUCAUCCUCCAUGGCCUUCUUUUGUGGACUAUGUGGCAACCCAUUAGAGGGGGAAAUCCCUUCACGUGGUGGUUAAAAAGCUUUCUCUUGCAAUCACAAUCUAUUGCAUUUGGUGUGAACGAAAUAACCUCAUGUUCAACAAUUGUAGGAAAAUCCCUGCUGCUUUUCUUCAGUCAAUCACUAAUAUGAUCCGGUGUCAGCUGUGUACUUUGCAUCUUAAGCCCUCAACCAUUAACAUGACGAUCCUGCAUAAUUGGAAUGUUGCUGCUUAUUAGGCUUUAGGCUUUCCCGUCAUCUUCUCCUGAGUGAGUUAUAAUUAGUUUUAUUUUUAUAUUAUUUUUUGCAACAGGUAGGAUAAGUUGCAUUAAUCUACAGAGGGAGGGACUCGAAAACGGAACUUCGAGUAUAAGUUACACUUUUCGUGUUCAGCUGGGUUUGAUAAUAGGCAAGGGCAUGGGUUGAACCUUGUAAUCACUACAAUUCGUUUAUUAAUUGUCGCUUUUGUCUCUACUGAUUGCUUGUACAACACUGUUUUUUUUUUUUAAAUGCAAAAUAUUUGUUUAUCCCAAUGGAGAUUGGUCAUUGUCGGCCUAUAUCAAUAAACUGCAAAAGAGAAGAAUAAAAAUCAGAUUAAAUUCGCAGCAAAGAUGCAAUUGCAAAUGCACGUAGAUAAGAGUCUUGGUAGUCCAUCAAACUAAAGGCAGGCAAUUUGGUAUUUUGUUUAUUUAUUUUUUGUACCGUGAUAGGUUUUUAGCAAACAACCUUUUGGCCAAAAUCCUGAAGAAAAAUGUACAACCACUGCAGAAUCAAAUGCAAUCUUGUAUAAGAUAUGAUUUUGGAUAUAAUAGCCAAGUUGCCAUUACUUUUUAAGUUUCACUGGAUAAAUUGCGUUCAUUAUUGAUUUUGAAUACAAUCCUAGGAAGUUUUGUUGAGAGGAACCUUAGAGAGAGCUCAUGUAGGUUAAAAUUUAAUUGUGACUUUUGGAGAUUAAAAGUAAUGGCUGGAUUAAUAACUUGGCUAUUACACAGAACACCUAAUCUUAUAGGAUUUUGCAUUUGUUGAAAGAAGUAAGAUAAGGCAAAAGGAAACUAACAUGAAAUGGGUUUUCCUGCAAAAGAAAACUAACAUGAAGAGGAAGACCUAGGAAAACUUUGGAAGAGACCCUAAGAAAAGACUUAGAGUACUUGGAUCUAACGGAGGACAUGACACAAAACCAAGCGCAAUGGCGUUCUAGGAUUCAUAUAGCCGACCCCACUUAGUGGGAAAAUGUUUUGUUGUUGUUGUUGUUGGAAUAUAUUCCAUGCAUACAAUUAAAUAAGCACAAUAGAUCAAAUUCAAUGGAGUAAACCAUUAGGGAAAAAUGUGACUCACAUCUUGUAGUGAAAACCAGCGACCUCGCAAAUCUUGGAGAUUUACUCCACCUUCACCGGUAACCCUUGAUCAAUUUGAUAUUUGCUCAUUUCCGUUAGACUCUUCCUUUCUCUGAAUGGAAGACACGAUGCGCCAAGAAGGUCGUCGAGCACCUAUGACAUUUUUGUAUCCCACAGAAAGAAGAUUCCUCUCCUCUACAGUCAGCUUAAGGUCAAGUUUCUCAACUUGCUUCAUACACUCAACAAUUUCUGCAUCAUCGAGUAAACGUAACAAUUCAGAGAGCAACUCGACUUGACACACAGCUAGUGACUCAUUUUCACUCAUUUCAACAUUAUGCACAUUAUGCAUUAAAGUGUACACAUUUGAUUCUCCCUAUAUGCUGAAAAAAUGGACAGUAGGAAAAUCGAAAGGGGACGAAGCUAGUAACCCAAAACAGAAAAGGAUGACUCAUAUUUGUCUUCCCUCCUCUUCCGCUAUUUAUUCUCCUUCUUCUUUCGUAUUUUCCCUGUGAAGCCAACUUCAAAACUAUACAAAUAACAAAGCUUCAAACUUUUAAUUACCCAAAAACCUGAAAAAGAAAAUUUGUACUAAAUUAAAGAAAAUGAUCAGUAAAAGCUUUUGAUUAAUGGAAGGCAUUUUGAUAGACGUACAUCAUUUUCUUCCCUUGAUUUGUCCCUCUUGACCUUUUCGUUUCCGUCUAGAUAGCAGAAAGAUUAGACCGAGGAAAAAGGUUUAGAUUGAGAAUUGAGAAUAAAAGAUUAUGAUUGAAAGUUGAGAAGUUGUACCAUGGAAGACUCUUUAGCAAUUUGUUUAUCCCUCCGCCUCGCCAUCAUUCUCCUUCUCAUUGAUUUCUGCACAACUACAAACAAACAAACUGCUGGUGUGCAGUUAAUGACUGUGAGAAACUGGCGUGUGGGCAGUUGAUGGAGAAAAAGGUCCUCGGUUUUUUUCCUAUCUAUUCCUAUUUUUUUUUUAAUGUUUUGUUUACAAAUAUAAAUGGUGUUGGAGAUGAGUUUUAUGAACUGCCAAAACAAAACGUGGAUGAAGGAGAAGGACGAUCAUGGUGAAGCACGAUCUCAUUAUGGUCACAGGGCGUUGGGUGUUGGAGUGUUAUGUGUUAACUGCCAAAAGCACAAUGGUGAAUGAAUAUCUCCUCAGUCCAGCACGCCUUUCCUUCUUUUUUUUCGUCCCUUUUUUUCUUUUAAUAAAACGAAUUUUAAAUUUGACAUUUUUUUACAAAAUUGUCCUUGCAUCUUUUAAUGUAUCAAAUUUGGUCAGUUCGAAAUUUUUUUGUUUUAGGGGCUUUUCAGUCCAAUUAUUUUUGCUGAAGCCUUAAGACACCAAAGUGUUUUUUUGGCUUUUUAAUAUUAAGGAUAUAUGGCAUACCCCUACCCGAAAUGUCCACCUAGACUCCGAAUCGAGUUGUACUGGCCGACACCGGAGGGUGACGAAGCCAUAAAAUGUAGUGAUGUGGAAAAUGUGAGUGAAUUUAAACUUAAAAGUGCCUAAAAGUACGAGUGGACUUGUGAGUGGGAAUGAACCCAAUUCACACGUGAUGUUAGAGCAUAAGUGAAGUACAAUAAAUGUAGGAUAAGAUUUAUACUGUCGAAGGUAAUCACUUAUACUAAUGUUUGCCAAGAAUCCUCGUCGACACGAACAUUGCCACUAAAACCUAGAGGGGCGAAAAAAAAUAAAGAUGAGUGGGCCUAAAAAUAAAGCUUUGUAAAAACCUUUUCAAAAUAUAAUAACUCAUCGUCGUAAAACAAGUAUAGUUUUCAAAUAUACAUACUACGUAUAGUAUGAAAAUACUUAUCGUAGCCUACAAUUUCUCAAAAAUUCAAUACAUCACAAUAUUUUCCAUAAAUAAACAUCUAACGUCCGAAGUUCGAGAUGAAAGGUCUUGGUGGAUUGAAAUAUUUCUUGGGUAUAGAAGUAGCUCAAUCUAAACAAGGUAUAUUUCAAUCUCAAAGAAAAUAUGUUCUAGACUUGUUAGCUAAAACUGGAAUACUUGAUUGCAAACUGACUGAGACUCCCUUAGUCCUAAAUCACCAUCUUGCCAUGCAUGACACGCCUCGAUCCUGAUGUUCCCCGAACACUAGGAUAGGCACGUGCUGGCCGACACCCGAGGGUGACGAAAGCCAUUAAUUGAUACAAAAACUAAGAAUAAGAAAUAAAUAAGGGUCAUGAGUUCAAAAAUACAAAGAAUUAACAAUUUAGAAACGUGUUCAGAGCAUACAACUAACUAGAGCACUAAAAGAAUUAAGAUAAAAUUAAAUGAAUAAAUGAGUGGGUCCUACCCCAAGAGGAUUGUAAGAUGCUGCUGCGGAAGUGUCUUGACGCCGGGAUUAGGUGCCUUGAUCCUAAGUCCUAAAUGGGGGCGCAAAACAAAGGUGAGUGAACCAAGUUUAUAUACAUACAUAAUAAAAAAAAUAGUUAUAAACAUACUAACCCCCAAAGUUUUAAUAAUGAAAACUACUAGCAUAAUAAGUGAUAGGUUUACUGAAAACACUAGCAUGCCAAAAACAUCUAAAAGACAUAUCGCGAAAAAAUAUCGUGGAAAUCGAAAUAUUAAACGUUUCGUAAGCGCGGUGUGCUACUAGUAAGAUCACUGAAUAAAUAUAACUCCCGGCCCUAUGCCAGCACCGUGGUCUCUGCGCCCGUAGCCAGAGAUUACCAACUCCCAACCCAAUGCCUGCUCCAUGUCCCUCAGCCCGUAGCUAGGGAUUAUUUCUCCCGGCCUAAAUGCCAACACCAGAUCCUUGCCCCAGAGGCAUAAUGUCCACUAGGUACGCACAAAUAGUUACGCCACUAAAAAAUAAGGAAAACUAAUGAAAAAGGCUUGAAAACUUUGAGUUUUAAUGAUAAGGACAAAAUAAAGGGUAAAGUAAAUAGUACCAGGUUUGACUUUUUAGUGUAAAAAUGUGGUUUUUCGUUAAAAUGAACAGUACCGUGAACUUUUCGUUAAAACUCCCUAAAAAAUAACCACUUCGUAGUAUAAAGUCCCCACUAGCAACUUCACCUAAGCACAAGAAUUACAAAUUAACAACUACCCAACUAAAGAAUUUCAAGAAUGGAAAUGGGUCUUGGGUUUGGAUUCGGAUUAGGGUUUAGGGUUAGAACUUAUUGGGUUUUGGGUUUUAGGGUUUUGGGUGAAAAUGGGAGGUUUGGGCUUAAGCCCAAACCCAUAUACAUACACCCAUAGCACAACACACACACCCACAUGCACGACAUGCACACACACACACACACAUACACACACGGCGCACGCCCACACCAACACACACACACACACGGCCUGCAGGCCUAAUAACCCAAAAAGGGCUGGGUUUAGAACACAGGUCCAAGGCCCUUAGGUGUUGGGUUUUAAAAAGAACAUAACCAAAAUUAAAAACUGAACAGGCCAAGGUACUGGGCUGGCUUCAAAACGGGUUAGGCCCGUGGGGAAAUUUGGGUGGCCUAAAGGUUUGGGUGUUUCACAGAGGGGAAAGCCGGAGCUGCUACAACUCCGGCUGGUGGUUUCCUAACAAACUAGGGUUCAAGUUAAGCAUUAAAAUGAAGAGGAGAGAGAGAUGAGUAAUUAUAUACCCUUGCUUCGUGUGAAAUGGACGUGUGUGAUCGGAAAAAGCCCACGAAGGCCACUGCUUGCCGGAAAGUUUGGGGGUUCUUUCUUCCGUGGUGGCUCCGCCUUAACAUUGAGAAAAAAAACGUAAAUCACCACACACAACCACCAACAACAAGAAGUUCUUUGAGGAAAAUAGAUCGAGGUCUCACCUAAUCGGAAAAAUAAAAGGAAAACUAAUGAAAAUGGCUUAAAAACUUUGAGUUUUAAUGAUAAGGACAAAAUAAAGGGUAAAGUGAAUAGUACCAUGUUUGACCUUUUAGUGUAAAAAUGUGGUUUUUCGUUAAAGUGAACAAUACCGUGGGUUUUUCGUUAAAACUCCCAAAAAUAAAAGGAAGUCGCCGGAGAUUCGUUUCACCGUUUGGGCCGACUUUAAUGCAACGAGGAUAGGAAAAUCAAGGCAAUGAUGGUGAUUGGGCUACUGGUCUCAUGCACAACCAGCAACGCAGGUUGUUUGGGCUACUCACGGUGCAACAGAAAAAGAGAGAUGAGAGGGUGUUGAGUGAGAGAGAGAGAGAGAGAGAGAAAGAAAGAUAUCUGAGAGGGGGGCUCGGGUAAAGAAAAAGGUAAGGGAGUUAGGGAGAGAGGGAAGGAUUUCAGAAAAUGGAAAUGGAAUAGCUCGGGAAGAGAGAAAGGAGAAGGGACUGCCACUUGGCAGUUUAGGAGGGAUAAAGUAUUUAGAUCAACGGUUAUGAUUUAACUAAGAUAAGGGACUAAAUUGGUAUAUUGAGACAUAUUCAGGGAGGAAUAUGGAAAUAUGAUUAUAUUGUGGGGGUGGGUGUAACAAUGCACAUUGAUCAAGUCCCUACUAACAGAGAAUGUUAUCAAGGGUUAGUUAGGAGGUUAAUUUAUUUAUCUCACACCAGGCUUGAUAUUGCGUAUGCAGUAAGUGUUGUUAGUCAGUUUAUGCAUUCUUCGAGUGAUACUCAUAUGGGUGCAGUUGAAUGCAUUCUCCGGUACCUAAAGUUCUUCUCGGGUAGAGGCAUCAUGUUAUCUAAGAAUGGUCAUUGUGGAUUGAAGGUUAUACCAAUGCAGAUUGAGCAGGGAAUAUUACUAAUUGACGGUCCACAUCUGGAUACUUUACAUUUGUGAGGGGAAAUUUAGAGACUUGGCGGAGUAAGAAACAAAAAAUGGUUGCUUUAUCAAAUGCAUAGGCGGAAUACAGGGGUAUGACAAAAGGAGUAUGUGAAUUAUUAUGGCUUCGGAUGUUACUCGGAGAACUCGGGUGUCCUUCAAUGUUGGCUUCGAAUUUGUUUUGUGAUAAUAAAGCAGCGGUUGAUAUCUCACAUAACCCAAUCCACCAUGAUCGUACGAAACAUGUGGAAGUUGACAAACACUUCAUUAAGGAGAAGUUGGAUGAGAAUAUUAUUCAAUUCCCGUUUGUAAAGUCAGAGGAUCAAUUAGCGGACAUCUUAACUAAAAUUGUUGUGAGUCAAGCGUUCUACAACUCUCUCAUUAAGUUGGGCAUGAACGACAUUUAUGUAUGAACUUGAGGGGGAGUGUUGGAGAGUUGACCUUUGUAAUUAGUUUAGUUACCCAUUUGGGUCCUUAUAAUUAGGGUAUGAUUAUGAUAGAUAUUAGUUUAUGUUUCUUUCCAUGUAAAUCAAUCUUGUACAAUAUAUAUUUACUUCCUUGGUGAGAAGAAUAAUAUCAUAGAAUUAAACCCCAAGAUAAGUCCUUAUUAGCAUGGUAUCAGAGCCAGGGAACGGACGGUAAUGUUCUGCCACGUGAUGGGUGGGUCUCCUUGGCCCCGCGCGAUGAUGGUGGGUCCUUGGCCCCGCAUGUAGGGUGAGUCCCAUUGGCUUCAUGUGGUUGUCGAUAUGUGGAUUUCUCAUGUGUGACCCAUUAAUUGGCUCCCAUGUGAGGAGUGUGUUGAAAUGUCUCACAUCGGCCGUAUCAAUGAGAAAAUAAGAGUUUAAAUACCCUAAUCCCAUUCCAACUAAUAUCGAGGCAUUUUUGUGAUAAAACUCCACACCUGAUGGAUUGUGUAGGUGGUAAUUAUGGGGACAAUAUUGAUGUUGUUAAAAGUGGGCCUUCUAUCCAUCUCUCUGAUAAUUCUACAUGGUGAUCAUAUUAGACUUGAGAGGGUUAAUGUAGAUACCUAUAUGAUCGCAACAGCCACAAACGGGUAUUGAGCCAUCGAGAUGUCUCUCGGGAGGUCUUCGACAUGAUGGCCAAGCUUGUCACCACUUCUUGUUGUACUGUUGAGUAAGAUCUUUUUGGCAACAAAGAACACCAUCCCAUCGGCACUCCUUGAAUCGAUUAUGCAAGUGAAAUUUGUGGUAAAGUCUUCGAGUUUUCCGGGGCAUUUUCCUUUAGGAUGAAGGGCUUGCAGUGGGUUGCUCGACCGACAUUCUAAGUUUCUCUGAGGCUUAUGGUGCGUCUGACUAGUUGGGUACCAAUAUAUGCUUCUCCCUCAAGGGAUAUGUUGGUCGUGCCAUUAGGAAAGCUUGGGAAGUUGAAGGUUAAAGCAGUUGCAAAAGGGUAGAAAAGAAAGAAGGUAAGGAGGUACAAAAGCCCAUUCCCAGAGUCAUUGACAACCAUAUCGAAAAUUUUGUGGAAUCAUUUUUUCGUUACAUUUACGAGUUUGCCAUUGGCUUGAAAACCGAUUUUUUAGCAUUUCAGCUACAUCUGGGCUUUGGCUUUGGCUUUUACUUCUGCUUCAAUAGGCCUGUUGGAGGAGGGGGAUGGAAAGACUGACAGAUUGGGGAGAGACGAGAGCUACGAAUAGACAGCAGCCAUGCUUGCAGAGAGGGAAACUAGGCGAUGAAAUUGCACUGUGCGAAUGGACAGCGUUUUGGACUCUCUACCGCUGCUCUUGAUCCGCACGUGUUGAUAAUUGUGGAAAGGGAAGAAGGGAUGGAAAAGGCGGUCUUUUCCAUUUCCUUCUCAAACCCUUAUUUCCUCCUGAAACCCGAAGACGGAGAUAUAUCGGGAUUUUGAAUAGAGAGAGAUAAGGGUGUUCGUUGCAGAAAGAGAUAUGGCAAGAUUUCGAUGGCUACGAGAUUUUGGGAUUUGCAGUAGGGAUGACAAUGUUAACCGUUAGACCCGAUAACCAUCCGAAUGGAUUGGAUUUGGGUAUGAAAUUUGGGUAUGGGAAAAACCGUGAAUAUUAUUUGGUUAUGAUUUUAUAUAGGGAACUUUAACGAAAAACUCUCGGUACUGUUCACUUUAACGAAAAACCACAUUUUUACACUAAAAAGUCAAUCCUGGUACUAUUCACUUUACCCUUUAUUUUGUCCUUAUCAUUAAAACUCAAAGUUUUCAAACCCUUUUCAUUAGUUUUCCUUUUUAUAUAUGGUUAUAGGGGUCCUCAAUCCAUAUCCGUCUUCGAAUCCGAACCAAAUAAUAUAAUAUAAUUAUGUAAUAUUAAAAUAUUAAAUAGUGUGUGUGUGUGUCUAUAUAUAUAUAUAUAUAUAUAUAUAUAUAUAUUCAUUAUUCAUCGAAUUCAUUACCUUGAAAAUACAAAAAUUGCAUUGUGUGAGUUGCAUUUUGUGGGAAAGUUCAAAAUUUUUUAUAUGAAUCAAAAUAUAUGAUAAUUCAAUGGUACUUAUAGGAGAUAUCAAAGAUUAGCCAACAUUAUCAAUGUUUAACUUUAAUUUUUAUACUCCACAAGAUCUAUUGACUAAAUCAUUUUAUCAUCAAUUAUAUAGUGACGAAAUUAAUAUUUCUUAAAUUAUCAUGCAUAAAUUGAACGCACCAAAUAAAAACAAACACACUAAAUGAACUUAAAUAUCUUGAGCUUGUUUCAAUUCCCAUUGGUGCUCUAUCAAGUCAAUUUGCCGAGCAUUAUGCAUAUAUGGCCUUUGAAGUGCAGUAUAUCGUUGAAUGACCCUUUCAUUGUAACGUUCGUCCCUUUCUAAUGGCUCAUGUUGCACGGGUUCUUCGGUGGCGUCAUGAGCACAAUAUAUUUGUGUUCUGGAAUUGUUCAUCGUGUCUAGCUCACAUUCAUCAACGACAUCAUAAUCGUACUCAUCUUCCACAAUCAUGUUGUGAAGAAUGAUGCACGUCAUCAUGAUGGAUCGAAGAGACUCUACAUCAAACAUUAUGGUAGCACCCCUAACAAUCGCGCAUCGAGCUUGGAGGAUACCAAAACAACGUCCUACAUCCUUCCUGCACCUCUCUUGAUAGCUUGCAAAAUGUUUUUCCUUUGCACUUUGCGGUCGUGGCACUGUUUUGACAAACGAUGACCACCUUGGGUAAAUGCCGUUUACUAGGUAGUAUGGGUUGUCGUACAUAUGUCCGUUGACUCAGCACGUGACUUUUGGUGCCUUCCCUUGCGGGACAUCGUUGAACACUGGGGAUUGGGCAAGGACAUUGAGGUCAGAGCACCCGGAACCCCGAAAAAGACGUGCCAAAUCCAUGUAUCAAAAGAUGUCACCGCCUCCAAAAUGAUACUUUUUGCUCCUUUUCUGUCCCUAUAAGCGCCUUGCCAUGCACUUGGACAAUUUUUCCAGGUCCAAUGCAUACAGUCGAUGCUUCUAAUCAUCCCAGGAAAACCUCGUAUCUCGCCAUUCUUCAAAAGCCUUUGCAAGUCCAUGUUAGUAGGCUUCUAGAGGUAUUAUGCAGUGUAGAUAGAUUCGAUUGCUCCGUAAAACCUCAUCAGGGAUUCAAGAAUGGUUGAUUUCCCCAUCCUCGCUAUCUCGUCCACUUGGUCUGCAGAUACUCCAUAUGCAAGCAUCCGCAAGGCAGCAGUAAUUUUUUGUUCAGGAAGGUGACCCAUAGCACCAAAAGCAUCAUUCUUUUGCACAAAGUAAGAAUCAUGGUUACAAACAACAGUCAUGAUUUUGUUGAACAAAUUUCAUUUCAUUCUAUAACGACGUCUAAAGUACGUAUCAGGGAAUGCACUGUUACGGACAAAAUAAUCGUCUAAGAGUUCUGUACCUCGUCGUUGCCUGCUUCUAUCAAGGUUUGUAAAACGACUAGGCCUACAAAUCUGACCCAUAGCUUGGAUGACCGGACGGGAAUGUGAGGUUUUGGCCCAUUCUUGCUUCGUCAUCUCUCUUUCUACGCUCCUUAUCAUCUUCCAUCUCAUUUUGGGCCAUUUGGAGAUUGAACAUUAUUUCUUAUUGGUUAAAAAAUUCAUCCUCUUGUUGAUCGACAUUGUAAGAAGAAGAAAACAUUGUAAGAAGGAAGCAAAAACUAUGAAUAAUGAUACAUAUUUUGAUUUUGGUGAAGAAGGAAGUAGAAACUAUGAAUAAUGAUAGAGAUCUUGAGAAAAUUGGUGUGAGAUUUGUGAGGAUGGAUGGUGGAUUAUAUGGAGGAUUCAGAAAGGAUUAGGUUGUAGAUAAUGCCACGUGGCAUGCCGUCAUCCGUUAAAAAUUUGACCGAAAUCUAUCUUCAAAGAUUGUAAACAGAUUGUGACACGUGGCACAACGUGAUUGGUUAAUAAUCUUAUCGGAAAUUCAUCACCAAUAAUUGUAUUUUCGGAUAAUGACAAGUGGUGCAACGAGAACGAUUAAAAAUCUUAUUAGAAAUCCAUCACCAAUAAUUGUCUUUUUGAAAAAUGACACAUGGCGAAACGAGAACGAUUAAAAAUCUUAUUCGAAAUUACAAAUAAAAUUAUUUUGUAUUAUUUUAUAAAUAAAAAAUAGUAAUAUUUUAUUGCCAAUUGCCAGUGCUAUUCAAUGUAGGGGUGGAGAUGCAAAAGACGGUUACUGUUCAUUAAGGACAGUUACUGUUCACUGGGUGGAUAGCAUAGUGGAUAGCCCUAGAGGGCCUCCACCACCCUGGAACUGCUCUUAGAGAGAGAUGGGGGUGUUCAUUGCAGAGAGAGAUAUGGCAGGAUUUCGAUGGCUACGAGAUUUAGGGAUUUGCAGUAGGGAUGACAAUUUUAACUGUUAUACAUGAUAACUGUGGAUAACUGUCCGAAUGUAUUGGAUUGGGUAUGAAAAUUUGGGUAUAUUUUGGGUAUGGGGAAAAACCGUGAAUAUUAUUCGGUUAUGAUUUUGUAUAUGGUUAUAGAGGUCCUUACUCCGUAUCCGUCUCCGAAUCCGAACCGAAUAAUAUAAUAUAAUUAUGUAAUAUUAAAAUAUUAAAUAGUGUAUAUAUAUUGAUAAUGUUGGCUAUUUAAGGUAGGCAAUCCUCUCUGUUUUAUCUCCAGCGUUGCAGCCAUUUAAGGUAAGCAAUUUCAUUUUUAAUAAAACGAAUUAGGGAUCACGACUUUUGAAUUAGGUAUCGAAUUAUGAUUUUCUUUAAGUCUAUAAUGGACGUACGUUCCAUUGGUAAGUUCCGUUCUUACAAGUUACAACUCAAUUUCCAUGUAUUUUUGUUUUUUCGAUUUAAUUGGAUUUGCAAAAUUUGGAAUUUCUGUGUUGAUUUAAUUGGGUUUGCAAAACGUGUUUAUGUCAAUCUGGGUUUGAAAUUUGAGUUCUUGGCAAUCAGAAUUUUAGCAAAUUUUGAUAGUCUGUUCAAUUGAAUCUUAAGCUAGAUUUAUUAAUAAUUAGAUGAAAUCCCAACAUAAUUUUAAUUUGGAAAAUUAGAAUUGUUGUGGAUUCGGUUACAAAUUUGUAAAUUUUGGCUCCUUUUUUCAUAUGAUUUCCACUGUGUUUCCAGCUUUGUUUUGAUUUUCUUGGAUUGCCCUUUCAAUUGUUUGGUAGGCAAGACUGAUGCCGAAGUUGCCGAAUGAAGUGGAGCUGAUGAGUUUUGGCAAGAUUUUGGAGAACAACGUGACAGUGGGUCAGUGUAAAUUACCUUUGGUUGAUAUUGGUUGGGGAAUUGUCAUGAUGCGUGUUGUUGUACAGCCAGCUAUGGGAAAAUCUAAAACAGGUAAUGUUUCCGUUAGGACCUUAAUCUUGGGUUUUAUAUAAAUAUCUGCUGGGGUUGGGUGGCCGAAGACAUAACAUAUUAAAUUUGGUGUUUAGCGUGCUUAAACUGGUAGGGAUGAUCAGAAUUGAUGUUGUUAGUUAUUAAAACGUGGUAUUUAUCCUGUAAACUACACCAAGGGGACGGGGAUGGUUAGAACUUUGAACCCGGGAUGCAGUGGGGCUAAGAGAAAUACCCUCCCCACCGGGGCAAUCAAUCACCUGCAGGAUUGUUAAAAUAUCUCUGCUAAAAAUAUGAGUUUUACUUCCUGUACUUUAUUUUUACUGUGAUGUGGAAAUAGGCUUUACAAUGGCUUAUUUGUGAUAGUUGAUGAAGAGAUUUGUGUUUAAGACGAGAGUAGUGCGGUCUCUUUCUUGUAGUGAAAUAUGUAAAUAAUCAACGGAAAAACAAGGUAAAUAACAAAAACUUCAUCUUUCCUUCUUUCAGUUGUUAUAGGUUGCGUCAUUCUCAUCACUCUCUAUUCGGGGAACUUCCAGAUUCUAAAACUGGUGCCUAAUCACGAUUUCUGGUACUUUAAGAAAAACUCAGUAUCUUUUUUUUUUUUUCAAUUUUGUUUUUAAUUUGGUUGUUUGAUCAUUUUUUUCAAUGCGGGUCUUGAAUCUUGAUCAAUUUUGUUUGAUUAAUUUCGGUAUGGACUAAGCUUUAAUUAAAAAGAUGAAAGAUCAACAAUUGAACUUACAUGAGCCGACCAACCUCUUGGAAUGCAAAAGAUACAGUUCAGUUCUUCAUUCAUCACCAGGUACAAAUUUUGCCACUCUCUUAUUGUGCAUGUUGACAUUUCUUUUGUGUGAAAACUUAAAAUUGAAAACACAGUUGCUACUACUAAUGUUAGAUUCGACCUUGUGGUCUUUACAGAAAUCAGAAAUGGGAAUUGAUUUGAAGUGCACCGUCUGCAUUACUUUGGUAUAUUGGAUAAUGAAUGCGGUUUUACAUUGAAAUAUAUGUUUAUCCUAGGGUUAUUGUGCACUUUGAAAUGUUGUUGAUGGUGUCACAAAUUUUGUUGUAGAAGAUGGGGUGAUUGUGAGGCUAUGGGGCGUUCCUGAGGACUCAGUUUGACCUCUUUCAGAAGUAAUAGUGUCACUGUCACUGACCAAUGUUGAGAAUAAUGUUGGAGGAGCAAUAUAGGUCGCCGCCGGCAUCUUUGAUGGGAGAAUGGGCAAUGGAACUUCGAAGUUAAGCACUUGAAUCGCUUGUUGAAUCGAAGGUCUGAAUGUAUAUUGCGGGUGAGCACACCAGAGCCCAACAAUCAUCAAGCACUCCAUUUGUUUCUCAUCAAAAUGACCAUAGAGUUUUGGAUCGGCUGCUUGAAUAACAUUCCCUUCUUCAUAAAGCCCCCAAACCCACUUCACCAGUUCGAUUUGGCUAGUUUCUAAUUUGAAAUCGAUGGGUUUUCUCCCACAAGCUAUUUCCAAAGAAACAACUCCGAAGCUGUAGACAUCUGAUUCCUUGGUAGACUUUCCUGUGGUAACAUAUUCUAGAGCCAUGUAGCCUCGGGUUCCUGCCACAAUUGUUGUUAGUGACUGUUCUCCAUGGUCUACAAGUCGAGCUAACCCAAAAUCCCCAAGUUUCACAUUGAAGUUUGAAUCCAGCAUAACAUUGCUCGACUUGAUAUCCCUGUGAAGCACACAUUGUUCCCAUUCUUCAUGUAGAUACAAUAACGCAGAGGCCAACCCCUUGGCAAUGUUGUAUAUCACCUGCCAACUCAACAAGCUAUUUUCUUUAAAAAGAUGGGAAUCUAAACUUCUGUUUGGCAGGAACUCAUAAACGAGUAGUAGUUCUCUUUUUUCAUGGCACCAACCAAUGAGUUGCACCAAAUUCCGAUGCCUAAGUCUGCUAAUGAUCCGCACUUCUGAUGCGUACUCCUUCAUCCCUUGCUUAGAUCCGCUGGAUAUCCUCUUAACAGCAACUUGUAAGUUUAAGUCUUUUAUGAAGCCUCUGUAAACCCCUCCAAAUCCUCCCUCUCCCAGCUUCUCUCCCUCCUCAAAAUUACUGGUCGCUUGAGCCAACUCGUGGUAAGAAAACUUCCUUGGGCCGGUUUCAUUUUCCAGUUCUUUAUCAAUCAGUUUAUUACAAAAGGGAUUCUCAUCAAUUCCGUCUACUGCUUUGCUUUUCUUCCGAUAUAUGAACCAAACCAAACCCAACCCAGCAAACAAGAUUAGAGACCCAGCAAUACCCAACCCGAGCAGGAGUCCCAUUUUGGAUUUUCCGGGCCCGGGUUUAACACCGGAUGGUGCGAUAGAUUCUGGUUUGUUGUGCGUAGGAUCGUCAUCAACCAGAGCAGUUGAAGUGAAAUUCCAUGGAAUGAUCUUAUGAACAGCAAUAUCUUGACCUUUAGCAGCAGAGAACCCAACAAUUACCCAAUCUGGCAAGUAUUGUUUCAAAUCAAUUAUGUAAGAAAGAUAUUUGAUCACCUCCACUUCAGUACCAUUUGUACCAUUUUGAAAACUCGUGAAUGCAACACUCAGAUUUUUUGAGCUGGAGUUAUAACUAAUCCAAGCAUCGUUUCGUUUUCCUUCAUUAAUAUCACCAUUCCAGGGAGUGGUAAUGUUAGACUUGAGAGAGUUGAUGUCAAUGCCCACAUGAUCACCGACCUGAUCCCUGAUUACUGGCUGCUCAUUCCUGUAGAUAUCAAACUCCACAGCCACAAAAGGAUACAGCGUCCUUGUGGUGUCUCCUGGUAGUUCCUCGACGGGCAGGCCAAGAUGGCCACCACCUCCUGCUGAAAUGUUGAGUAAGGAACCACUUGGAGCUAUGAAAAACACCAUCCCGUCGGCAUGACCUGAAUCGAUCAUGAAUGUGAAGUGUGUGGUAAAAUCAGCGAUUUUUCCUGUAGAGGUUUCCCAGAGGAGGAAGGGUUGAUGGUAGGUGGCUCGGCCGACAUUUUUAUUUUGUCUGGCGCUUCUGGUGAGUUUGAUGAGUUGCUCAUCUAUGUAAGCUGCUCCCUCGAGAAAUAUACCAGUCUUGCCGAUGGUGAAGCUAUCGUAAUUGAAGGCCAAGGGAGAUGCGGAAGGGAUAAACAGAAGGAAGAGGAGGAGGGGUAGAAGCUUUGCGGAAGGGAUAACCAUAGUAUCGAACUUUAUGUAGAGACAUUUUGCACAUUGCUUGUCAACUAUUAAGUAGAGCGAUCAUCUUUUCUUGUAGACCAAGAAACGAGUGUUUUUACAGCACAGAGUCAUUGUUUUCACCGAACUCAAGUCGAAAAUAUCCUUGGACUAGCUGAUCAAUGGUUCUGUUUCAUUCCAAAACUACAAAAAUAAUGAACUUUGUUGUAUUUUAUUUUGCAUUGAAACUACAAUAGUAUCUAGAUUCAAGAGUGCAUAAUAUAUUUAUCUACAUGUGUUUUGGUUUGUUUGAUGUGAAAACUGAAGGAACGAAUGGACGGCAGCUGAUUCUUUGUUUAUGUUUUGUUGUCCGAAUGCAUUGACAUUGAGAAGACAUGGAUGUCGUCGUUUGAACAUGUACAUUUUGACUACUAAUAUUUCAGUAUUGGGUUUUUCUUUUGAUGCUGUUUCUCUGUGCAUUUUGACAUGUACAUUUCUGAAUGCCCUGGUAGAAAGAGCCUCUCUUUCACUUACUGCUUUUUGAGUUCGAACCCCCUUGCAAUCUCUUGUUAUAAAUUUAUGGGUAUAACAUAUAACUACGACAAGAUGGCAAGUUCAUUAUCAUCAAAGUAACAACUAUAUAUGUUGCCUAACAUAUUUACUUAAAGAUAUUCACUAUAAAAAAUGUAUUACACGCAAAUUUAUAUAUUCGAAUAACAGAGUAAGAUUAAAUUUAUCUUGUAUACAAAAGUGAGGCUGAUGGAGAAGAAUUGGAUGCAGAAGAUGAGGUGAAUUGUGAGGAGUUGGUGUUGUAACCAUGACCCGAAGACUCUGUCUGACGUCUUUCCAAAUCAGUAUUGUAACUCGACGAGAUUGAAAAUGAUACCGGAAGAGAUAAGUAGCUGGCCACCGGCAUCUUUGAUGGGAGAAUGGGC